CAUGCACAUCUUGAUUUGACUUAUUGACUUGUUUCUCUGGAUCCAUGGUUUGACUAUGCAAUAAAAGUCUUGUAAGUAUGUAUUAGCUGUCUCCCACCUAUGAGCUCCAAAUAUCAAAGCCUCAUUAGAGUAGGAUGAGAGAGAAGGCAAUAUCACUAUGCCUCAUACCACAAAUACUACAUACUUUGAGAGAAGGCAUAUAUCAUCACUGCCUUGGUGAGGAUCCAGAAAUACCACAAAAGAGAGAAUUGAGAGAGUCAUACAAGGAAUCUCUGGGUUUUAUUUUGAAAAUCUACAAAAACUCCAGAGCUAUAGUUGAUCAAAGAACAAGAGACAUGUGCUUGACUUGACCAUUCUAUCUUUUAACUGCUCAAGACACAAGUGAUGGUUGCAAGCCCCAUGGUGGAAGGUAAUAUGAGUAAGUUUAAAUCUUAACAGUUUAUCUUAACCUAGAGAUGAGAUCUUGUUUGAACGAAUGUGUACCUUUAAGGCAUAAAACCACUGCAGAAACUCUUGAGUCCAUCCUUGCUGAGGGACGAGCAAGAGGUAAGCUUGGGGGAGUUGUUGACGGUCCUUAAGUACCAAAUAUAAUCAUCAAAUAAAUAAAGAAAAGGAUCCAAAUGCAACCAACACCCAGACUUAGGGUUUUAUCUGACAGAAUUCCACGAGUUUUGGUGUUUAUCUAUUUCUAUAGGGGUUAUCAAGAAAUAUGGAGGAAAGGCCCACAUGUCGGGUUUACAUAAAGAUAUUAACGUGCCGCGCAAUUUUCUAUCAUCUAGAAGACUCCAGAAGCCACGGGAACGAACGGGAAGCGGAGUGGGCUCGGGGACAGGGCGCCCGCCCUGGUGUUUCGGCCAACCAUGUUCUACUUCACGGAAUAUGCUCCACCGACCUAAAGGAUCAAGGAAAACCAUGCGAUUCACUUGAGGGGACUAUAUAAGCAGGCCCCCUGGCCCCUGGAGGAGACACCCCCUUGAUCCUUAUUCAUUAUUCAUAGACAGCAAAAGCUAGGGUUUGGAGAUGAGACCUCUCCUCUCUUCUCUAAACUAGAGUAGAUCUAGAUAGUAGCGAGAUGGAGAGCGAGGGAGGAUUGGAGGAGAGGCCGGCCUGUCGGUUCUUCCUUCGGUUGUACUUUGCCAUGAUCAAGCUCUAAUCAAGCUUGCUCAUGGGAUGACUCUGGUAAUCUACUUUUAUUUCAUUAUGCAAUUACUAUCCAUGUAUGUUCUGGUUCAUAACUCUUUUGAGUACUUUAAUCUAUAGGACGCUAUAGGUGAGAGUUGUAGUAUAGGUGUAAGCGUGGUGCUUAGACCUAGAUUACUUGUGGAUAUCCCCUGUCUAACCGGAUCGUGUGGUAGGCCACGUAGGUGACAGUUACGUUGGUCCCCUGUAGUCCACCUCCCGUUAGGAGGACUGGUAGGGUUUAUCGGCCUAUGGAUAAGCAUCCUUUGUGGUGUAUUCUUAUCACGUGGUUCGUCCCAGACAUAGACAUACCACUUUGAAGUAGAGAAACCAGAGUUAUCCUCUCUAUUCUCCUACCAUUGCCCAUAUACUAGAUUGCUCUACUCUCUAUUCCCAUAUUAUCACCCAUUGUUAUGUUACCUUUAAUAUUGUUCUUAUUCAAUUUUACCAUCUUUCCUAUUUACACCUAUCUGUCUAGGUUAAGUUAGAGCGUAGAUCAGUUCUCCCGUUUCCCUGUGGAUACGAUAAAACCUUUAACCGCGUAAAAGUUACAACGGUAUCCGUGCGCUUGCAGGUUUAUCUGUGUGCGUAUAAAUACCAUAGUACACUCUAGUGCCAUGCUAGGGAUGACAACCUAGUAUUUAAGUGUUGUUAGCAAGUGUCAACAUGUAUGUGUGGCGAAUGAAUGGUGUAUGGUGAUGAUGGUGAUAACAAUGGUGAAUGUCUAAUUCUACUUUUUGUGCUCUUUUUGAGAGAUACAUACCUUUCUUGCUCUUUGAAACUUUUGAGGAGAAUGAUAUGCUCUACAUUUUCUUUUUCUUUCCUCCCAGGUGGGUAUCUUGUACCCCUAAUUCUACUGUCGGACACUUGUCCAUUUUUACCUCUCGUCUCACUUUUUCUUUUCUUUCGAGGUUCCAAGCACUUGCCCCUUUUUAUUUCCUCGUAUCUUGUUUUUCUUAGAGCACUCAUCUCCUGAAAUAAUAUAGCAAGUGGUAGUAACCAAGAUAACUCGAGCAUUUAUUUCACAGGGAAAAACAGCAAUGGGAUAAUGUUUUUUGCUAUUCUCUCCCGGAUUAGGUGUAGAAUACUUUUGAGUGGUUCUGGAGAUGGAAAUGGGUGGAUACAUGUGGAUGAGUACUCCCGGAGUAGUAGCAGCAUGUGUGAGUGAACGUGCAAGUGAAUCUUGAUUUAACCACAUGACAAGCUCCUAAGGGUCUACACAGCUUGACCAUACUCAAUGCUCAUAAGCAGUAAAAAGUAAAUGUGUGGCUCAAAAUCUAGCAAGCAUGUAUAUAUGGCUGUGGUAGGAAUUUAAACUCUCAUCAUACAGGACCUCAUCAUGUGAUAUUUUAAAGAUUUUCAAAGAUAAAAUUCUCCAGAUUUCUAGUAUCUCUAGGAAUAGAUAAACAACAGCUCAACCUUCCCAUAUCAUAUCCGUUAACAACUUAGAUUUCAGAUGAAGUUCUCUUCCCACAAGUUCAGGUUUAGAGCAAGCUUUAAAUUAUAACAGUUAUGUCUAAACUAGAGAGAGAACUUCAAAUUUGAAAAUUAGGCAGAGCAACUAUUCAUCAUAUCCAUGCUAGAGUUUUAUUUCAGUUUAGCAUAGCCACUUUAUUUAUUUAUUAAGCAUACUAAGCAAAAGAUAUAUAUAUAUAUCUAAGCACAAAAUCUUUAUUUGGUUUUUCAUAGUUAUGUAUAUUUUUAUUUUAAUAUAGUAUAAGUAUAUAGAUAGAUAGAAAUACUUAGCGGGAUAAAUGGGGGUGCUCUCCCCCAAGCUGGAUUUUGACGUAAUUUCUUUUGAUGUAGCUAGCAGGUGGCACAGGUGUAUUUGAAAGUCGGCAGCACCCUAACAGCGAUUAGAAUGUCCUCCAUCUGCUAGUCUUCUUGAUCCUUGAAUUCUGUGGAGCUCAAAUAGACAACAAAGCAUUGUAGAACUGAUUAGGUGUUAGCAUAAAUAUCUAGCCUUUAUCAUGUUGAGCUUCCUCAAUAAAUACUACUUUCUUUGGUAGGAUCACAAUUUUAUUUUUAUACUUUCAUUUUCUUAUAGAGCAGAAGAAUAUUUUUAUUUUAUUAUUAUGCCACCAUAGUGAAUGUACUUAUGGGUUUUAUGCCACUUGUAUACUCACAUGGGGCUUACUGUUUUUUAACAUUUUUUAUUUUCUUUUUAGGAUAGUAUGAACAUAAUUAACUAAGCAAACUAUUUUAAAUAAUUGAAAGGAAAAGGAUAACUACCAAGUUUACCUCUUGGCAAGGCGUUCGGUGUUUUUAAGUCCUCCGAACGGGACUCUCUGUUUUCUCAGUCGUCCUGGGAUUCGUUGGAUGGCGUAGUCGGUGGUUCCGGCGGCGCCUCCUCUUCGUGUAUAACUAUCUUCUCUCCACACCUGACUCGGUGCUACGGUCUCCUCAGGAUAGUUUUAUUCAAGCUAUAUGUCUUCAGACCUUACCACUUCUCCUUCGUAGUCUGCUCAUCCGUCCUUGAUGAUUUGCCUCUUCUAGUUUCGGUUGCGUCGUCUUCUUCUUGUCCUGACCUGCUUAGAGUCAUCAACUAUAUAGUUAGGAUCAGUAAAAUAGCGGCGUACCUUCUUAGAGGGGAAGUGCAUAUGAACUUCUUCGGUUCUAAUGUAGAUGAUUGCUUUAACGGUGCUGAGGAAUGAUCUCCCAAGGAUGAUGGGUGGAUCAUACUCGUCUUCUCCCAUGUCAAUAACCUGAAAGUCUGUAUGGACAAAAUGAUCGUCUAUUUUGAUAGGGACAUCAGUUACUAUACCUUUAAUCUUUCGGAAUGUCUGAUCUGCCAUCUAGAGCUGAAUGUAUGUCGGUUUUCGGGGCAUGGUUCCGAACAAGAGCCGAUAGGUGACUGCGGCCAUUAUGUUGACGCCCGAUCCGGUGUCGCAAAGCGUCUUGUAGAAGUUGUACCCAUUGAUGGAGCAAUGCAUGCUUGGCUUACCUGGGUCGUCCUUCUUGGUUAGAAACGGUGACUUGAGUCGAUGAUCUUGACCUCCAUGAACUGUAGUGACCAUCUUAGCUGACUCGGUCCACACUUGCUUGUUCAUGUUCCUCCUAUUGGUCCUCUUCCUUGGUUUAUGUCGGGAUUGCUCUGGGAUUUGUGUAGUCUUGUUCUUGAAGGAAAACAUCUCCUUCCUUCCCUUGAUGUAGAAACUGAUCUUGGCAGCACUAGGGUAGAUGACAGCUCCCGAGGUGUUCAGGAAUGGCCUCCCUAAGCUGACGGGUGCCCUCUCAUCAUUACCGGUCUCUAUCACCACGAAGUCUGCUGGGGCGUACAAGGUACCAACUCGGACGCAGAGGUUCUUCAAUAUUUCCUUUGAGAAACUUAGUGUCCGAUCUACAAGCUGCAAACACAUGGUUGUUUUUAAUAAAGCAUAUGUAAAGAAUUUUUCAUAGAGUUUCCUGGGCAUAAUGUUGACACUAGAGCCAAAGUCGCAGAGUGCUUCUAGGAAGUCCACCAUGCCAAUGGAGAUCGGCAUGACGGGGCGUCUUGGAUCGCCUCUCUUGACCGGCAGAAGGUCAGUAGUAACUUCCGUGACGGGGUUACUCCAGUAGUUACCUGUAUCAAACAUGUCUACAAGAUUUGCAGAUUCUAAUCCUUCCGGUUGUGAUGGUAUACCGGGGUUAGUAGCAGGAACAACAACAGCUAUUUGAUUUAACUGAGAUUCAAUCAUUUUAUUAAAACUAAUUUGAUUCUUGAUGGCAGUAGAGAAAUGAUGCAUUCUAUUAUUUAUAUUUUCUAGCAUUUUAUCAUUAGAUGCCAAUUUCUUAGAUAGGUUAUCCAUUAGCUUUCCUUGAUUAGACACUAACUCUCUCAGAAGUGGAAAAUUAUUAUUAUUGUAAGAAUUGUUACCUUGAUAAUUACCUAAGUAGUUAGGCCUCUGUUGAUUCCAACCUUAAUUUUGUUGAGGACGGUUGUAGUAAUUGUUGUUGAUGUAGUUCACGUCCUCAAGCCUCUCAGAGCAGUGAUUGCCUGAGUGUCCAGUAUCUCCACACUCCUCACAAGUCAUGUGAGAGUCGUAAACGUGCAUGACUUCUUUCUUCUCUCCAGCUCUAUCAUCGAGCUUCUUCAUGAGCAUGUCUAGCUUGGCAGACAGCAUGUCUACUUCCUUGAGUUGGUGCAUACCUCCACCUCUCUUGCGUGUCUGGGUCCUUUCUUCAUUCCAGCCUUGGUUGGACGCCAUCUUCUCCACAAGAGUUGUGGCUUGUGGUAUGGUGAGUGAUAGGAAUGCUCCUCCAGCUGCAGCAUCCAUGGUCUCACGGGCACUAUUGUCGAGCCCAUGAUAAAACGUCUGCAUCAGUAGCUAGCUCUCCAUUCCAUGAUGGGGACAUUCUAGGAUGUAGUCUUGGAAGCGCUCCCAUGCUUCUGGAACGGAUUCAUCAUGUUGUUGCUGAAAACUUGUAAUUUUCCCAUGCAGAGCAUUGGUCUUGCCCAUGGCAAAGAACUUAGCUAGAAAGUUCGUGGAGCAGAGUGCCCACGUAGUAUUCUUCUCCUUUGUACCAUAGAACCACUGCUUCGCUCUCCCCAAUAGUGAGAAUGGGAAGAGGCGAAGUAGUAUAGCAUCUCUGGGGACUCCUGAUAUGGUGAAUGUGCUGCAAAUCUCCAUGAAGUGUUGGAGAGGAGCACUAGCAUCUUCGUGUGCCUUCCCACCGAACUGGUUGGAUUGCACCAUGUUGAUAAGUCCAGGCUUGAGCUCAAAGUUGCCGUCGAUCUCUGCAGCAGGUCUAGUGCGGAUGUUGUCCGUAGUGGGAGCUGAGAACUCGCGUAUCGAUUUGUUCGCCAUGACUUCGAACUCUGAAGACAAGUUCCGGAUGAAACUUCGGCGGUCUUCUUGGUUGGAUGAAGCUUCUGCUGAAGUGUUGACGAUGCCUUCUUGAGCUUGGCUCUUGUUUUUCUGAAUAAUGCUUCAGGGUUGUCAACAAAAUUUCCUGAAAGAUGUCUUCUAUUCAUACAUUACCCUGCAUAAAAUAAAAUAGAAAAAUACCAGGGUAAAACUGUAUGAGAGAAUUGAUAAUCUCAAUCAUAUAAGUGAUGCGAAUGAUGACUCAAAAUUCCGUAUUCAUUCUUGAUUAGUAAUCAACCUUCCCCGCAACGGCGCCAAAAAUGCUUGUUGGACAUUCUUAACGUCAUUACCAAAAGUAGACUUAGUUUUCUAUUUCUGAUAACGGCGCCAAAAAUGCCAAACCUAUCCCUCAUGCCACUUAAGCGAGGUUGUCAUCCCCAGCAUGACAUGAGAGACGCGGUAUUGAAAUAUGCAAUUGCUCUUCUGAAUGAAUAAUAAUUGAGAUCUGCAAGCGCACAGAUUAAUACCGAUGUAGCAUUUUAACCGGGAAGUAUUCCAGGUAUCGUUAUUUAUAUUUUUACCACUCGGAAGAGAUUGUUAAUCAUCAAAGUUGAUUAUGGAAUAGAAUAUAGAAUUGAGUAUCUAUCAUUGCAUUUGUAAUAGAGAGCAUUAUCUAUCUCUUUCAUACAGGGAUAAAUGUCAUAUAAAAUAUAGAUAAAGUAUGAAUGGUGACAAAGAUAAUUAAUCUGAUCAGUAUAACUAACCACAUAUAAUAAUGAUAAGCACCUAUAGAUAUUUUAGCAAGUCAUUAGCAUGGAAUUAGGAUGAACUACAAGAAUAUUUCCUAAGUUAUUCUUAACUAUAAAGUCUAGCAUAUCAUAGUUAGUGCAAUUAUACUUGGCAAUCAUUGCGAGACAGGACUACGCCCAUGCAUAGUGAUAUUAUCAAGGAAGAUAAGAAACAUAGCAAUCACUCCACUGUAAUAAUGUUGUUCUGCCUGCCCUAUGCACGAGAGGGGGACUAUAUAAGAAUCAAUGGAGCUGUCACUACCACGAACUACCCCGCGAUCCGGCAUAUUGGGUACAAUCACAGAUAAAUACGGUAUAGGCACCACACCUACACAAUACUUAUCAUCUACCCACUGUACACAUGGAUAAAUGUUAUACGAUCCUAAACAUGUAUAUAAUUCCAAUCUAACUAAGCCAAGCAUAUAACUAUGAAAAACUAAGAACAAUAUAAUUGCAAAUAUAAACAAAUAGAGCAAAGUCAUAAUCAAUAUAUUGAAGUAGAACAAAGUCAUAUUCAUAAUAUUGAAGAACAAAGAUGAACAAAUGAAGAACAAUAGAGAAUCCUCUUGAAAGAUCCGGAAACCAAUCGAAGAUUGACUCCUUCUAGUUCUAAUCCUAUGUAGCUAUGCUAAAUUAGAGAUCUACUGAUGUGGUGGCUCUAGGGCUUGAUCAGAGGCUUCUUCUCCCGAGAUGGAUAAAUGAAUUAGGGUUUCAGGGGUUCUCUCCUCCAGGGGACAGGGGGUCUGCUUAUAUAGUCCUUCCAAAUGAAUGUGGACCGUCGGAUCAAACCGACAUUAAUCGCACGGUUUUCCUUAAUCCCUUAGGUCGGUGGAGCAUGAUCCACGAAGUGGAAGCUGAUUGGCCCUCAGACCAGGGCGGGCGCCCAAGGGGGAGGGCGGGCGCCCUGCCCCUGGGUCCGCUCGGUCUCCAGCUCGUUCCUGUGGCUUCUGGACUCUUCUAGAUGUUGGAUAACUGCGGUGCACGUUAAUAUCUCUAUGUAAACCCGACAUGUGGGUCUUUCCUUCAUAUUUCCUGAUAACCCCCUGUAGAAAUAGAUAAACACCAAAACUCGUGGAAUUCUGUCAGAUAAAACCCUAAGUCUGGGUAUUGGUUGCAUUUGGAUCCUUUUCUUUGUUUAUUUGUUGAUUAUAUUUGAUACUUAAGGACCGUCGUCAACACUUCACAAUGCCAAUCUUCAAACAGAAAUGUGCACCACUGCCGCAACUAAAUCUUUCAAUUACAUAAUAUACCCCAACAACACGUACGCUGAAAAAAUAUAUAGUCCAAUAAAAACAAAUACUCGCGCCGCAACAUAAAAAUAUUUAUUUCCCUUAAGUGAUAACAAAUAUUUACUCCCUACGUUAAAAAGAAAAAUAGAGUACCAACCUACUAUUUCCAACAAAAAAAAGUUACAACAAGUACAUGUGAUAACUUUGUUGUCUUUUCAUUCAGGAAUGAUUUUACAACUUACCUCACAAAAAUCUAUAAAUUUUUAAAAAAUAUAGCUAAAUACACAUACAACUAUACUCAUAUUUAUUAUAUACUCAAGAUACAAGUGAUUGAGACAUGUGACUUACUUUUAUAAUUGACCUACUCCCUCCGUCCACGAAAGAGCCAAUUUCUAGAGUUGUCUUAGGUCAAAAUUUUUAAACUUUGACCAAAUUUCUAGAAAAAAAUGCUAAGAUUUAUGGUAUCAAAUUAGUAUCAUUAGAUUCAUCAUAGAAUAUAUUUUCAUAUAAUGUGCAUUUUAUAUUAUAGAUGUUGUUAUUCUGUUCUAUAAAGUUAGUCAAACUUUAAAAAGUUUGACUGACACGGAUUCUAGGAAUUGAUUCUUUGAGGAAGUACUAAAUAAUAUAAAUAUUGAUAUUAUUCGGUGUAAUUAUAGUCUAAUUUAUGAUUAUACAUUUAUUAACCUAGCAAGCCAGUACUAAGUCUCCCAAGCAUCGUUAUCCAUCUACUUUCCCUCAUCCACACUGAAGCUGAGUCCGCCGAAGCUCUGAAGCUACGCUCUACAGGUAUGUCUUGCUUCUCCUUUCUUCUCCAAACUUCUCUUGCUUUCACAGAAACUUUCCCCGCUUAUACUUCACCCACAUCUAAACUACCGUUGGGAUCUAUUGACGAUUUGAGUACACAACGUUUUCUCCGAUUUGAGUACACCACAUUUUCUAUCCUUUCUGAAUCAAACAUGAUUUUAUACCUUUGGAUUCACACCGACUUCCUCCAUCUCAUAUGGCGCCACCAAUUAAUUUGCUAUUUAUUGAAUCUUUCUGUCUAUAGAUCUAGACUACGCACCCCGGUUCAGUAUACCUCUACACCCUGGACAAAUCAAGCAACAUUACUCGGAUGCUAGGUAAACGCUAUAUUUCGUUUGUUCUAUAUUCCUUGUAUUUAUUUCCUAUGUUUUAUGUUACCAAAUAACCCGUUUCCUAUAUACCACAACCCAUAAGAAAAAUGAGUCUAAAGCCUGUGCUGGAAUAAGUGGUGGAGCACUUAUAUUCUUAAGAUUUCGUAAUUUUUUAAAAAAUUAUUCAUCUGUAUACAUAACAAUUAUUGGUCAACCUUUGUGAAUAAUAUACCUAUAUGUAUAAUAUAUUGAAUUUUUAUGAAGACCAAAAAUAUAGAUUUCAAACUGACCCUAAUAUUAGCAUCAUUAUGGCACCUUUUUGGUGAAAUAAUUACAUACCCUCAUAUUAGUACAGUACUGCAUACAGAGUAAUACGCUUAUACAAUUUUUUGUUUAGGGAACAAAGGCUAAUACUCUGUCAGAAACAUCCCUGGAAUCAUAAUGGCGACUGUACCAAGUAAAAAAUUUUAAUUCGUCCUCCUUCGAAAAACCUUUUAUUAUUUUAAUUAUGCAAUUAACAUAUGCAUCUAACUCUUCCCAUUAGAAUCACGGCGAGAAACAUCAGUUAUUGCAAUGAUCAGAGCUAGUAGCUCCUGUAACCUUGGUCCGUAUACAAUUGCUAUGAUUAUCACAGAGGCAUUGCAGGAAUAUAGAGACAUCCUCAGCAUUGGAUUCUCUUCUGCCAAUUUUACUAUUGGUCUUAGUUCACCGGACUUCCAGCUAGCUGUUCUUUACUCUCGAAUAAUUGAAGAAUCAGACCUAAUUCUAGAUAUAUUGCCAUGGUGCCCUGAGUAUGUGAGUUUCGAUUUACCUUGGAUUAUCCAGCGCAAAAACAGAGGUAUAUAACAUUAAAUUUCACCAGCUUGUAAUUUCGUCUUCACAACAAUUUUGUUCAUUCUUUAUUCUCUAUACUAAAACCUGGAUUAUACUAUUCUUACUGCUGCAGUGACUCCACCAAACCAGCUGGGCAUUUACAUGAACAACCUCAUAAGUGAAGGAAAAUUAUCACAGCAAUGUAUUCGCCAACUAAUUGAAAAACAAUUUGGUAUUCCCCACAUAUCAGGUAUACAACCACAAGAAAACUUAUUCUUAGUACUUUACAUUUAUAAGCAGGAAUUUUAAAUUCAGAAUACAACUUAUUGCUAAAAUAUAUUGCAUUGCUAUUCCAUAUACAGAAAAUGCACAAGAGACAAACCAGAUCAUUAUAGAUGGUCUUACCGGCAUGGGGAAGCAAAGCUUUAUGCCAGACUUCAGCUACCUGAUGAUUUUAGAACUCAAGAGUUUUUACAGAGACAAAUUCACGGCUUUCAGGAAAUGUGCGCAAUCGUGUGAAGAACUUUGUGAUUGUGCAUAUCAGCUUUUCACCGAUAUCGAUCCAGCUCUUAAAUCUAUAGCCACCGAUAUAUUGUCCAUCGGAGAUAGCUUCAAUGAAGAAGUACAGUUCCUGAUAGCUAACGUUGCUCAAGACAUCCAUUCAGAAGGACUUUAUAUAGCAGAAGAGCUACUUGGGAUUGGAAGCAACAUACAUCCCUUAUAUGCUAGCAUGAAUUCUAUCAUUGAUCUAACCAGAUUCAAGAGCAAUAUUUGUAAAACACUGGUAAGCAAAAUACAAUAAAUAUCUAUAUAUCUUACCUUUAGAUCCAAUUCUUCGUGUUUACUCCUUUAUAUGAGCAAUCCCUGGUUAUUAAUAUAUAUAUCAUUACAUCAGGACAAUAUACCAGCAAAUUACACUCAACGUCUGCGAAUUAUUCUUAAUACAGUGGCUUAAAAAAAUUUAUGGAACCCCUGCUACAACCAAAACAGAGGCAACAUCAUGUUGGAUUUAUUAUGGGUUAGACCCAUUUAGAUUUAAUAAAUCAAUAAACUCUAUGGUGUGUAAUUAUGGACAAUAUAUACAUUGUACCAAAUAGGAGCAAGUCCAAGGGUUGGAGUGGCUGGCUGAUGGUACGGGAGUUUCAACUCAAUUAUGUGGGAGUUUCAACUCAUUAUCUGCGGGUGUUUCGAUAAUUAAUUGAGGGAGUUUCAGCUCCGCGUGAAAACCUUGAUGAUGCCCGUCUCUUCAGCCGCUAGCAGGGGAGUCCCUUCCCCUCUUGUCCUCUCCAGCCACAAGGAUAAAUAGGAGACUCAUCUCCUUGGUACAAGAAGAGAGAACACACAGAUCAUAGUUCCGUUGCAAAGUAGGAAUUCCCAUCUCGUAACUUCGCGCGCACGGAGGAGCGAGAGGGCAGGUGCCUCCGGAGCCCUUGCCGUUCGAGACCUUGCACGGGGGAUCGGCAAUUAGGUUUUUGGGGAGCGUCUACGCGACUGCCCAACUCCAUUGCUGCUGUUCAUCUUCUUCCCGGAGGUCUCUUGGUGUUGCCGGUCGCCGUCUUCUCCUUCCCGGUGAUUGGUUCGACGUCUUCACCUUCGUCUCUACUCCAUGGCGAUCGAGGAAGGACAAAGUUCUGGAAAUCUGAAUGCGCGAGUCUCAGGGUAUGAUCUGUUCAUCUUCCCUUAGUUUUACGUCGCUCUGUCUCUGUUUGUUUCAGUAGCUCUGUCGUGCAGGUUCAAUAGUUGUGUCAUACCUGUUUUAGUAGGUCUGUUUAGUUGUUUCAGAAGAUAUCUGUUGUCUGUUCCUGUUAUGUUUAAGCUCUGCGUAUAUGUCUCUGUUCUACAGUUCUGUUGUUUCGCUAGUAUCUGUUUUUCUGUUUCAGUAUAUCUGUUUAUCUGUUUCGAUAGUUGUAUCAUGUUUGGUGCUGUUACAGAUAAUUAUAUACCAUGCUAUGCUUUGAUAUUUGAUUUGCUUUAUGGAUCAUGGUUACAUGUCGUAAUUAUGAUUCAUGUCAUAUUUAUAUUUAUCAAUAACAUCAUAUAUGUCAUCAUCAUAUUGUUAAUUUAUGGAAUUAAAAUGACAUGGAAAUUGCCUAAUAUCCUAACAAUCCAAAAACCUAAUUAUAGGCAUUUUUCUGUCAGAGGUUUUGCUGCCGUGUUGAAACCUGAUACUUUUGAUGGUAAAAACUUCUUGAUCUGGAAAGCUAAGAUGGAAUUGUGGCUAACUGCUAUGUCAUGUUAUCAUGCCGCUGAGGGCAAGCCUGCUAACUUGUCUCCUGAGGAUGAGGCUAAGUUUAAGGCUGAUGACAACCUCUUUCGAGGUGCAGUGAUUAGCGCACUUGAUCCAAAAUUUCAGAAAAGCUACAUAAUUCUUCCAAGCGGGAAAGAGUUAUGGGAUGCUCUUGUGGCUAAGUUUGGAGUUACAGACGCUGGUACUGAGCUGUAUCUUAUGGAGCAGUUGUAUGACUACAAGAUGGUUGAGAACCGUUCUGUAGUGGAACAAGCUCAUGAGAUUCAAGCACUGGCUAAGGAACUUGAACUUUUCCCUUGUCCCCUGCCUGACAAGUUUGUGGCUGGCGGUAUUAUCGCCAAGUUACCACCUUCUUGGAAGGAAUUUGCUACUUCUCUCAAACACAAGAGGCAAGAGUUCAAUGUUGAGGAACUCAUUGGUACUCUUGAUGUUGAGGAGAGGGCGAGAGCAAAGGAUAAUGGGAAAGGUGUUGAGCCUUCUACUGCCAAUGUGGUGCAGAAGAACUUCCACAAGUUUAACAAGAAGAAAAUUCAGAAAAAGAAAGAGAACAACCAUAAGCCCAAUCGGUCCACUCAAUUCAAGAAAACUACCAACAAUAACAAGAAGGGAGGCUGCUUUGUUUGUGGCAGUGAGGAACACUGGGCAAGUGAGUGCCCAGAUCGCAAGUUCUUCCAAGGGAAGAAAUCAGCUAAUGUUGUAACUACUGAGACUGUAGGAACAUCUGGGUAUGGUAAUUCUUUGCCAUAUGUUCUUUCAGUUUGUAAUUCACCUGAGUGGUGGAUGGAUAGUGGUGCAAAUAUACAUGUGUGUGCUGAUGUUUCCUUGUUUGCCACUUACCAGGUCGGGAGGUCUGGCGCCUUGUUGAUGGGAAAUGGGUCGCGUGCUCAUGUUCUUGGUGUUGGUACGGUCAUUCUGAAGUUUACUUCGGGGAUGACGGUGCCAUUGAAGAGCGUGCAGCAUGUGCCCUCUAUCAAGAAAAAUCUUGUUAGUGCUUCUAUGCUAUGUCGAGAUGGUUAUAGAGUUGUCCUUGAAUCGAACAAAUGUGUUGUGUCGAAACAUGGAUCCUUUGUUGGUAAAGGAUAUGAUUGCGGAGGUUUGUUCCGCUUAUCUCUACAUGAUGUGUGUAAUAAAAUAGUGAAUUCUGUUGAUAUUUCUGAUGAGUCGGAUUUAUGGCAUUCACAGUUUUGUCACGCAAGUUAUGGUUGUCUUAUGCGGUUAGCAAAUCUGAAUUUAAUUCCUAAAUUUAACUUGGUCAAUAAAUCUAAGUGCCAUGUAUGCGUUGAAUCAAAACAACCUCGCAAGCCUCAUAAGGCUGCUGAGGCGAGGAACUUGGCACCUCUAGAACUUAUUCAUUCCGAUUUGUGUGAAAUGAAUGGUAUUUUGACUAAAGGCGGUAAAAGAUACUUUAUCACAUUUAUAGAUGACUCCACUAGAUUUUGCUAUGUGUAUCUCUUAAAAACAAAGGAUGAAGCGCUCCAUUAUUUUAAGGCCUAUAAAGCUGAAGUUGAAAACCAACUAGAGAGGAAAAUAAAACAUUUAAGGUCUGAUAGAGGUGGAGAAUAUUUCUCAAAUGAUUUCGAUGAAUUUUGUGUGGAACACGGUAUUAUUCAUGAGAGGACAUUGCCAUUCUCACCACAAUCCAAUGGGAUUACCGAAAGGAAAAACCGUACUUUAACAGAGUUGGUGAAUGCCAUGUUAAAUACAGCGGGAUUAUCCAAGGAAUGGUGGGGUGAGGCAAUUUUGACCGCGUGUCAUGUCCUAAACAGGGUUCCUACUAAAAACAAAGAGAUCACUCCAUUCGAGGAAUGGGAAAAGAAGAGAAUAAAUCUUUCAUAUUUACGCACUUGGGGUUGUUUGGCAAAGGUGAAUGUGCCAAUCAACAAGAAGCGUAAAUUAGGACCUAAAACUGUUGAUUGUAUUUUCCUUGGUUAUGCUUUCCACAGCGUUGGAUAUAGGUUCUUAAUUAUAAAAUCUGAUGUGCCUGAUAUGUAUGUUGAUACUAUCAUGGAAUCGAGAGACGCUACAUUUUUUGAGAAUGAGUUUCCCAUGAAAAAUACACAUAGUAAAAUAAGUCAUGAGACUACAAUACCCCAUGAGCAAGAAUUGUCUAUUCCUAUAGAUCAUGCUGAGGAGACUCACAUGCACAUCCCUGAGGAGGAUGAGACUAUAGUCACUCGAAAGAGCAAGAGACAGAGGAUUGCAAAAUCCUUUGGUGAUGACUUUAUAGUGUACCUUGUGGAAGACACGCCAACUACUAUUGUUGAGGCAUAUUCCUCUCCUGAUGCCGACUUAUGGAAGGAGGCAGUAAGGAGUGAGAUGGAAUCUAUUAUGUCCAACGGAACAUGGGAGGUCGUUGACCGUCCCUAUGGCUGUCAACCUAUAGGCUGCAAAUGGAUCUUUAAGAAAAAACUUAGGCCUGAUGGUACAAUUGAGAGGUACAAGGCAAGGCUGGUGGCCAAAGGAUAUACCCAGAAAGAGGGGGAAGAUUUCUUUGACACCUAUUCACCGGUCGCUCGAUUGACUACAAUUCGCACUUUGAUUGCCGUGGCAGCUUCAUACGGUCUUAUCAUUCAUCAGAUGGAUGUUAAGACGGCUUUCCUUAAUGGAGAGUUAGAUGAGGAGAUCUAUAUGGAUCAGCCAGAAGGGUUCAUUGCGGAUGGUCAAGAAAGCAAGGUGUGUAGGCUGUUAAAGUCAUUAUAUGGCCUAAAGCAAGCACCUAAGCAAUGGCAUGAAAAGUUUGAUAGUACACUUAUAGCUGCUGGCUUUGUUGUGAAUGAAGCUGACACUUGUGUGUAUUAUCGAUAUGGUGGGGGUGAGGCUGUUAUGCUAUGCCUUUAUGUUGAUGACAUUUUGAUCUUUGGAUCUAAUCUCAAUGUGAUUGAGGAAGUAAAGAAACUUCUAUCGAGUAAUUUUGAUAUGAAAGAUUUGGGAGAAGCUGAUGUCAUUCUUAACAUCAAGCUUAUCAGAGAAGGUGAUGGUGGGGUAACUUUGUUACAAUCCCAUUAUGUGGAAAAGGUAUUAAGUCGCUUUGGGUUUAGUGACUAUGAUCCUGCUCCCACGCCUUAUGACCCUAGUGUGCUAUUGAGGAAAAAUCGAAGAAUAGCAAGGGAUCAAUUAACAUACUCCCAGAUCAUUGGCUCACUUAUGUACCUUGCGAGUGCAAUGAGACCUGAUAUUUCAUAUGCUGUGAGCAAGCUGAGUCGGUUUGUGUCAAAACCGGGCGAUGAUCACUGGCGUGCUCUUGAGAGAGUGUUGCGCUACCUGAAAGGGACUAUGUCCUACGGUAUUCACUAUACCGGAAACCCUAGAGUGUUGGAAGGCUAUUGUGAUGCCAACUGGAUCUCUGAUGCUGAUGAGCUUUAUGCCACGAGCGGAUAUGUGUUCCUGCUUGGAGGUGGUGCUGUUUCCUGGAAGUCUUGCAAGCAGACUAUCUUAACGAAGUCUACAAUGGAAGCAGAACUCACAGCGUUAGACACUGCUGGGGCUGAGGCCGAGUGGCUUCGUGAACUCCUGAAGGAUUUACCAGUAGUUGAAAAACCGAUACCGGCUAUAUCCAUGAACUGUGACAACCAAACUGUGAUUACUAAAGUCAACAGUUCCAGGAAUAACAUGAAGUCUACAAGGCAUGUUAAGAGACGAUUAAAAUCUGUCAGAAAGUUGAAAACCUCCGGAGUUAUAACGGUGGACUAUGUCCAUACGUCGAAUAAUCUGGCAGAUCAAUUCACUAAGGGACUGUCACGUAAUGUGAUAGAAAGUGCAUCGAGAGAGAUGGGUAUGAGACCCACAAGUUAAUCUACUGUAGUGGUAACCUGCUCUAUGUGAUCGGAGAUCCCGUGAAGUAGAGUGGUGAAACAAGCUAUGAGUAGAUUGAGAGGAAAGUUCCCUUUUGAACCUAUCUCUGAUGUACAACUUUCCUUCUGUAAGGCAGGUUGGUAUUUACCUUAAUGUAUUCCAAGAGUCUUAUACAGAUGAGAUGUUGGCCUACAGAACAUCUUUUGAGGAAAACACCUAUAUGAGUCAGACUGCUGGUCACAGUCUAUGGGACUUGGGUAAUCCCUAAAUACUCAUGAAAGGCACUGAAGUGUGACUUAUAUGCUUCAAACAGCGGGGAUGCCUUGUGCAGCCAAGUAUCAGCAAAGAGCUUGAGUGGACCUCAUCUCGCACAAAACUGUCAAUUCAAGGCAUAGUCCAUUGUUCAGUUGUGUGUGGGUGAAACUUUUGUUCUAGAUGGAUGUUCAACUUAAUAGUCUCCAUCGAAACACUAAUAUAUCAAAGAAUUGUGGUUCUGAUGCUUCAUAAUUACAAACCCUAGAGUUUUGGGGAUUGUUGGAUUUAUUAUGGGUUAGACCCAUUUAGAUUUAAUAAAUCAAUAAACUCUAUGGUGUGUAAUUAUGGACAAUAUAUACAUUGUACCAAAUAGGAGCAAGUCCAAGGGUUGGAGUGGCUGGCUGAUGGUACGGGAGUUUCAACUCAAUUAUGUGGGAGUUUCAACUCAUUAUCUGCGGGUGUUUCGAUAAUUAAUUGAGGGAGUUUCAGCUCCGCGUGAAAACCCUGAUGAUGCCCGUCUCUUCAGCCGCUAGCAGGGGAGUCCCUUCCCCUCUCCUCUCCAGCCACAAGGAUAAAUAGGAGACUCAUCUCCUUGGUACAAGAAGAGAGAACACACAGAUCACAGUUCCGUUGCAAAGUAGGAAUCCCCAUCUCGUAACUUCGCGCGCACGGAGGAGCGAGAGGGCAUGUGCCUCCGGAGCCCUUGCCGUUCGAGACCUUGCACGGGGGAUCGGCAAUUAGGUUUUUGGGGAGCGUCUACGCGACUGCCCAACUCCAUUGUUGCUGUUCAUCUUCUUCCCGGAGGUCUCUUGGUGUUGCCGGUCGCCGUCUUCUCCUUCCCGGUGAUUGGUUCGACGUCUUCACCUUCGUCUCUACUCCAUGGCGAUCGAGGAAGGACAAAGUUCUGAAAAUCUGGAUGCGCGAGUCUCAGGGUAUGAUCUGUUCAUCUUCCCUCAGUUUUACGUCGCUCUGUCUCUGUUUGUUUCAGUAGCUCUGUCGUGCAGGUUCAAUAGUUGUGUCAUACCUGUUUUAGUAGGUCUGUUUAGUUGUUUCAGAAGAUAUCUGUUGUUUGUUCCUGUUAUGUUUAAGCUCUGCGUAUAUGUCUCAGUUCUGUUGUUUCGCUAGUAUCUGUUUUUCUGUUUCAGUAUAUCUGUUUAUCUGUUUCGAUAGUUGUAUCAUGUUUGGUGCUGUUACAGAUAAUUAUAUACCAUGCUAUGCUUUGAUAUUUGAUUUGCUUUAUGGAUCAUGGUUACAUGUCGUAAUUAUGAUUCAUGUCAUAUUUAUAUUUAUCAAUAACAUCAUAUAUGUCAUCAUCAUAUUGUUAAUUUAUGGAAUUAAAAUGACAUGGAAAUUGCCUAAUAUCCUAACACAUCAGGCGGUAAUUUCAUCACAUAUAUCUCUACUGAAAAAUCUAGUGACUACCAUAAAUCAAUACCAAUGACAACACAGACCGAAGCUGAAGCGGAUGCUAUUUACCGGUUCUUAAGGCACAAAACAAAUGUUCUUGGGUACAGCGUAAUAGACAUAGACUACUCCACACUCGCCAGAUUAGUAUCAGAGAUAAACAAAUACAAUGAAGAAACUAACGAGCUGCUACUUUGUGCCUCAAAAGCUGCAACUAUGAUACAACAAGUACAUAAAGAUAUCAGCAAAAUGUACACAGAUUUUCUAAAGCAGAUUCCUUGCGAUGAAAUUAUGGAGGUACAAAUUUCGGUAAAUAAUCGGCUUAUUUCAACAGAAGCAUACUAUAUGGCUGCAAAACAUGGACUACAUAUCUUUAAGCAGAACAAGGUAUAAACAAAUUAACUGAACUUUUUAUCAAAUUUUAGAAAACAUCUCGGGAUUAUUAUAGUAUCCAUACAUUAUUUUACAGCAAAGCUAAGAAUCUAUCACUUUGGAGACGAAGUACAGAUCAAAACCAACUUACUAAUCUUCGCCACUAAAGCAAGCAAUAAACAGGUACUUUUUUUUCAAAUACAUUACUUACAUCUUGCUGUCUUCUCCAAAAUCAUGCUACUUAUUCCAUACUCGCUUAUUACAUCUUCACAAUACAACGGCUAACUCAUAUAAAUAUUAAUUUCCUAUAGAUCUACAACUCCUUAUAUCGGCUAUCAUAUGACAGUGAAUCAGCAGCAACACCCUCUGGUACUGCGGUACGCCAGGACUCAUCGCUCAACCACAGUUCAGCUCUUUUGGUUGUACUAAAUAUACAUCUACGAACAAGCACUUUCAUAGGCUGUAAAAUUCCGGUUAUGUAAAAUAUAAUGUAUCUUCCGUUUAUACUAUAUAUAAAUAUAUAUACCUAUGAACAAACGCUUUCUGAUCCUUUAAUACUAUAAAAUAAAUUGAUCUACUACAUGUUUAUAUUUACUCCGGAAUACUUACCUAUCUUAUUAAUAUUAAUAUAAUUCCAAUCUUCAACACAACGCUUACAUACCAAAGGAAACUACAAAAUUUCCGUUGCCGCUCAAAAAUACACAUUUACACAUAUAUUGGGGAAAAAACACAGCCCAAAAGGCCCAUCAAUCCACCAGCAAUUUUUCUUCCUAUACACAUCACCCUUAUCUAUCCCCCCCUUCCCCAUAUAUUGGAAAAAAAUGACACAGCCCAAAAAGCCCAUCAAUCCACAAACAAUUUUUCUUCCUAUAGACAUCACCUUUAUCCAUCCCCCCUUCCCCCCUUAUCCAUCCCCCCCUCCCCCCCCCCACCCGAUAGCUUCACACACGAAGAUCCGCUGCCCCGACAAUCCCACCGCCGCCACUCAGCACCAAGCGAUCCUCCCUCCAUCAAAUCCAUGAAUAGAGAUAAGCAGUAGACACCAACGGUAGCUAACAACGCAAGCACCCAAACUAGCAGUACAUCUCCCAUUCACCUUGCAAGCUUUUCGCUCCAUAUCUGCAAACCCUAGGUCACCAUCGACGGAAGAACCAGCAAAUCGAAUCUGACAAAGGCGCAAGAGGCAGCUCACCAUAGGAACAAGAAUCUUCCAAAUCUCAGUACCAAACAGAUCGGUGUUCCCAUCGCUCAUCCAUUCCGCCAGUGGCUUGAAAAAGGUAAUAUUCAAGUAAGUCUCCCCUCCAUUCAAAUCCUAUAACACCGUGACAAAUAGUUAUCUGACAUUUCGCUAAUAUUAUACAACAGUUACUGCAACAAAUAAAACAAUUAUAUAAACAAUAUUCAGUCCAACUCUACUCAGAUUAAGAUUUACUUUGCUACUACUACUUUUUUUAUUCUAAACAUCAAUAGAGCCUAAAUUUAUUCACAACAUAUAUAAAUUGCUAAAUUACUAUCGAGACUUCAUAAAGCACAGUAAAAUACCGUUCCCUAUUUACUGGGCCAAGAACACCAUAACUGUUGUACUCCUAAAUCUAAUCCAAUAUCUUUUAUUGUAGAGUUUAAACACUGAUAUGGACAGAUUCUACUACUCCAAUCUUACCAUCGUUGAUGAAGGCGAAGACAUCAAACAAAGGACGACUCAACUGCAAGAAACAAUCAUUGCAAGAUUCCCACAACAUGCAUCAUAUAACAUUAGUCCACAAGCCAUUCAAGCAGCAGCUGAAACCCAAUUCGGAGCAUUUAUCAAAAUUUCAGAUAUAUCACGGUACGAAACAAGUUUUUUACUACACAUACACUCACCUAGUGCUCGCAGAGACAUGCUAACAAAAGGAUACCUAAAUAUGACUCCGCUCAGUCCAAACCUUAUACCAUGGAACCCAGAAUACGGUUCUAUUGCUACUCUAGCCUACCCACAAUUGUCAGCUAUACACAAUUUUGAUUAUAACACCUCAGCACGCAAUUUAGGUAAACCACUCAAGCAAAUCCAGAUGAAAAUAUCUGGCAUUCCACCGCAUCUAUGCAGCCACACAACAGUUGAUGCAUUGCUAAACAAAAUAGCCACAAUAAGAUAGAUUACACUGAACGCCAGUAACUAUACAUAUAUCAUAUCCGCGGAGACACACUGUCUCGAUGAAAUCCCACCUACAGCAACUGUAAGUGUCAGAAGAAUGCUUCAAGGCAGGCUUCUACUGAAUGUCUGGCCUAUCUGGUACGAGACAACUGACAUCACUGCCUCCACAUUAGGUAACUACUCAUUCCACACAACAAAAUCAUCACAAUUAUUAUACUGGAAUCAUCAGAUAUCUAUUCAUUUUAUUCUUACAAGACAAACGAACAGGUUUCACUGAGCAAUACGUCAACCCACAGCCAGAUGAUGAAGCAACCUCAGCAUACCCACGACAUAACAGAACUACGUCGGCAUAUGAUUAUGAAGGUAAAACACCGACAAUUAAUUUUGCCCUUAUUUCGAAAUGCCCAAAAAAUCCAGCCCAACCCACAGAAAUCAAAAUAUACAACUAAACUUACUGAAAUCUUUGCUAUCUAAUCAGAAACCGAGGACUUCUCGCCGGUACGUAACUCAAGCGAACAUGUAUGUGGUUGUGAAUCUAAUCGAAGCAUGAACUACUGAUCAGCUCUCCAUCGCAUAAAACAAGAUAUCGACAACUUCGUCGACACCGCCUAAUGAAUAAUUACAAUGUUUCCACUCACCGCUGUAGAAAACUUCUGUACCCACCGAACAACGCCACACUACUAUUCCACGCUACUAAUACCAACCAAUGGCAACCAAGAAUUAUUACCACUAUGAACGAUGUUGUAAUAAACACAAUAACCAAUCACCGCUAUUCGUAUCAUAUGUACUAAUAUUCUGAAUAACACAUCUAAUUCUGUCUAUAUCAUUUAGCAAACUACUGUGAUUAACACUUUUGCGCGCAAGGGCGCGCAUUUUCCACUACUUGAUUAGAAAACAACAAAGCUUUCAAAUGAUUACAAUAACCUAAGUUCCAAAUACAUUGCUAGCAUAAGUGACCUCCUUCGACAAAAGCAUGUAGAUGAGAACACUAUAUAGAAUCACCGAGCCCACCAGCGGUUAGCCACCAUCCUUAGCAGGUUGUAGACUUCACCUGCAACAUGGUGGGAUAAACCCUGAGUACUCGAAUAUACUCAACUAGACUUACCCGAUAGGAGAGAAAAUAAAAGACUCUCAAGGAUAUGCAAGGCUAUUUGGUGGAGUUGGUUGGAUAGCAUAUCUUUGCCAAAAAGAGCAUUACUAUCAUAAGUCCUUACUUUCAACCUUUUAGUCAAUAUUUUAGCAUCAAGUCCAAUAAAGCUACCAUAGCUAGAUUUGCACCUAUUCUAUAGCAACCAUUUGAUUAAUAAGAAUCACAUUAAUAACCAUAUCUGGUUUAUCAUGUAGCCAUCAUCAUCAUCAUAACCCUUAAGUUUCAUUUAGUGUAUCUACAUUGCCGCUGCUCAAGUCAAGUUCUUACUAUCCGAGAGAGACGGCGAUUCGAAUCGAUUCCUAUCCAGCUGGAGGGGUAUUCCUAGCACUCACCCAAGCAUACCUCGCGAGGGCAGCUCGGAUCACCUAGAGCACAACUCCAGACCAAUUCGCGGGUCUGUACGGCGCCGCACCCCCAGGGACCGCCAAUCUGCCAGGGUCAGGACUCUAACCUGACACCUCGGUCUUACGCCAUUGACUCUCCGCACAUCCUUGCUACCAACCGAGGUGCGCACUUUAACCGAUCGGGGUAUCCGGCCAGAGAUGCACUCGUAGGCUUCACGGUCGGAACGACUUAUCCGGCCAACUAAGUGUUAGGCAUGCGUUCAACAUGACAAGAGGACAUACAGCGUAUCGGUCCUUAAACGAUACAGACGGGGAUAGUCAUACCCAAGACCUCCAUGCCUUGUUGCUUCACUAUCGUCAUCCCGCUCGGUCCCAUUUCAUUAUUAGCACAUGGUUAUUUCCACGAUACCAAAUAUAGCCAACCGUGAUCAAGUAUCCACCUAUCUCUCGCAGGUGACAGGAAAUCACAUGGCUUCUACCGAGCUAAGCAUAGCUAAGCAUAGAACGUCUUCCUUAUACUAGUAAAGGUUCAGGUAGUUUCAUAUAGUGGACAAGGUAGGAAAUAUGCACCAACGGUUUCAUUCAACUCCUAUCACCUAAUGCAUCAUAUAAAGUUAUACUCUUGUGCUUUUGUAAAAAGAGAGGGUAGGAGACUUAGAAUGCUCUGGGGCUUGCCUGGAAUCCGACACAAGUCAGUUAAGUUAGCUUGCGCCAUCUUGACGACAUCCAAGUUCGUAACACUUGUGUAGUCCUUCCAUCAUUCCGAUAGGUCCACCGUCAUGUCCUUCACGUGGUUCAUCUCGUACCUAAAUAAGAUGCAAGAUGCAAGUACAUGAACAUAUAGAAGUGCAAUAGAGAAUGCAUCACACACAGGAAGCAAUGCAAGAGUAGGUUUACACUAAACAUACUUGAGCACUCCUCAUUGCUUACUUAAAGAUUACAGAACCAACAUGUUAAGACAACAAAGAAUGCAAUAAAAGGAAUCUGCCAUUUUUAGGACUGUUAACAGCUGCUGAGUAAAUAAAUCAUAACUGGAGUUACACAACUCCAAAAGACAUGAAUUAAGACAUUCUGGAAAGUUUAAGAAAUUAUCUGCAUUUCAUCUUUUGGUAGCAAAUCAUGAUUCACAAGUUUAGCAUGUCAAAAUAUUAGGAUUACAGAAUCAGGUCCUAACAAGACAGAGAGCAACCAUUUCUAAAACCCAACUUUGAACUGACAUAACACCCAAACCGCAUAACCAAAUGCCACCAAAUUUUAACAGCAGGUAGAUAACUGAAUUAUCUACAUCUUUGCUAUAAACAAGAUUCCCAGAAAACAUCAGUUACAUAUUGUAAUCCAAACAGUUCCAGAAACUGUCCAGAAACAACAAUUGCAAACAAUUAAUUAUUAACUUAUGUUUCCAACAUGCAUUUUAACAAAACCAUUGUUACCAACAGUUUGCACAUAUCUAAAGAACACCAGAAAACAUAGUGGUCAUUACCAAAUAAAUUUAUUUAAUGCCUUUCUUAAUUCAUUUGGAUAAUAAGGUGAAUUAAAGAACAUAUACCAAACAUGCACAGUAUAUUCCUCAACAAUUAUAGUAGCCUCAGCAUACCAUCAAUAGGCUACGGUAUAAAUUUCAUGGUAUUUGACUAAACAUAGCAUCAUCUAUGAAAAAGACAAAUUGCUAUUGCAAUUAACCAUGUGAGAGCAAGAUAAAUGCUCAAAUCAUAUUUUCUUCAAACACAUGACCAUAUUAUAUUUGAACAUGAUACAAAACUAUCAUAGAAUUGUACUGGAACAACAUUUUCCAUUUUUAGAUUUUUAUUUACAGGUAUAAAUGAUUUAUCAAGCUCCAUGAAGACAUCUUUGUUCAAAACAUGGACAGAACCUAUCAUGCCAUAUUAAAUAGCCAUAACUUGAGUUUCAUAUGCCCAUAAGUUAUGGUUAUGUACUCUCUAGAAAGAUUACUAAAUUGUGAACAACUUUGUUAUAAACAUCUAGAGUUAAGUCUACAACUAACAAGGUCUUACAUAACAAACAAUGCAUCCCUGUCUGGGUUUAGACAGAAACUGAAACAGUACUUUAAACCACUAUAACUAAACAUAUGCUUAACCAAAAAUUAUGCUAUUUAGCUUGAUCGAAAGCUUACGAAAAGUACUACAACUCAUAUAUUUUCAUCCAGGCAUGAUUCACAACCUAACUGAGCCAAACAAUAUAAACAUGCAGACCAACUCAGAAUAUGAGCAAAGCAACACAGGGCAAUUGUUAUUUUUAUAACUCUUGAUUUGUCAUUCCUAAAUUCAUACAAAUUUUACCAGACAUCAAAUAUUAUAUGUAAAGCAUGUCACAAUAUUUUCACACUUAUUGGAGCAAUAAUACAGUGGUUACGAAAAACACAAAUAUAACAAGCAAUUAAAACCGAACUGCACAAAUCUAAUUUUAGCGUUAAAACUUCAAACUAAAACAUGAAAUAAUAUAGAUCUACUGCAUAGAGAAUUUCACAAGGAUUCUACAAAGUCCACAUUUGCUAUUUUAUGACUUUUCUAGCAUUUUCUAUGCAUUAACAAAUUUCACCCAGAAAUCUGUAAAAACAAAAGAAAAGGAAAACACAUCUUGCAUCGGGAACCCUGUGUUUUCCAUGAAUCACGCUGCAUCCCAUAAGCACUAUUUAUAUGAUUGGCUUCGCAUCUGGAACCCUGAGUUGUUUCAUAUUCUAACCCGAGAUCCCUCCUCUUCUCUUCUUUGUACACAGCAGAGACAGAGGAGAUGGUCGGGUUCAGGCUCCGGCAGGGAGCGGCGCUAGGGCAUUGGGGGAGGCCCAGGAGGUCUCGUGGUGCCAAGCCGCACCCGAAGAGACCCAUAGGGCAACCAGGUUUGGCCAAAGAUCACCCGACCUUGUGCACUGGUGGCUCGAACGAGAGCAGUUCGUCCACGGCGUCCACAGCGCCAUGACGGUGGUUGUUCCUACGCAGACCACGAGGGGAUGAUGUGCGCAACUACAUCAGUUAGGGCAUUGAGGUUAGUUCGGCCAAGGAAGGUUGAAUGACGGCAGAGGGGGCGGAGCUCUGCUGCUCACCAAUGGUGGCAACCUGUGCCUGUCCGUCCAUGGAGGACAGAGGGAGAGAGCGGGAGAAGGAGGACUUGGAGAGAGGAAGGGGGCAUUGGAGAUGGGGAGGAAUGUCUCCUAUCUGCUCCUGGCAUCAGAGAGGCAGAGAGCAAGGUGGAGGUGGCAGCAAUGGAGAUCUUGAACUCGUGCUUGGUAACCACGUCCAUAACACGUGUUGUCCGUUGGGGCAUUUUAUCAAGCACGUGGCGGGCAAGGAUGUGUUCAGCGUGGGAAGCGAUUUGUGCCAGCUCUAGACCGAAUUUGGACAUGGACCAAAAACGAAGUUUGUUGUCCUCGUGCUGCUCUACGUUUCUCGUUUAAGGGUCAUGGCCAAUAGAGUUUUAGAUUAGUAGAUAAUUUGAUGCCAAUCUAUGAGUGUCAAUGAAUUGAUAAUGAUUAGAAAACCAAGAAUUGAUAACCAAACCGAAGUCAAACUGGUGUCAUCUUUUGGUAUGCUCUUUGUCCACAAUAUGUAUUCCAACUUCUACUUUAGGACCCAAACAAGUUGUUUAACAAAAUUUGGAGAACGCGGAAUGCUAACGUGAUGAACUCCAAUCCCAGACUUAGAAUUUCGAAGUGCUGGAAAUUACAGCAGAUUUAAUAUUGUGACCAUUAUUUGACAUCCUUAGAAGAUGAUUCAGACAUGGGCACUUUAAUAAAGUUUGUAGCAUACAAAUUGUACUACAACUUUUACUAAAGGACCUUGUACUGGUUCAGCCUGGGCUGGAAGAUACAAAGCUCCCAAUAUGGAUACCCAAAACUGAACACCUUGAGGACUUGGCCAAAAUUCUUUACUUCCAAAACAGCACUACAUUGAAUUUUGUAAGCUCAAUUUGACUAGGUUAGGGACCAAAAUAGCUCUCGAUCAUUAAACAAAGUUUGUUCUACAGAAUCUAAACUACAACUUUCAUUUAAGGUCAAAUCUCAAAACUAGUAUAGAAGUCAAACUUUCACUUUGGUCAAUGCAACAACUUGAUAAAGCUCAAACUAAGGUUUUAGGCUAAUUGAAGCACUUUUUGGGCACAAGCUCAACAUGAACCCGUCAUGAAUUUUGUUGUAGAGUUCAUCUAGAGUCAAAUGGGCAAGGUUGCAAGGAUUGGUUGUUGACCCAUGGUUCUAUUCACUUAAUGAGGCUAUUUCAACAGGCAUGUAACUUAUUGUUUCAUGUGACCUUUUGAUUCCAAACAUCAUGAAACUUUUUGAGUGCUCACUAUAGGUAGUGAUGGAUGUAGGACACAAGAAAUAGGUUCCAUUAAUAUCACCCAAGCAUGCACAUUGAAAAGGGCCUAUAUGUAAGCAAGGGUGCAUUAUCCAAGUUUAACUUGAGGCUCACUUACAUGGAUGGACCUUAACAUGAUCAUCACCACUUAUCUUGGCAUGUUUGAGCUCAAAACCUAAGGUCUAACUCAUGGCAAACACCUGGGGUGUUACAACCCUCCCCCCCUUAAAAGAAUCUCGUCCCGAGAUUCAGGGCGAAAGACUUUCAAGGGUAGAGAAGCAUGUUAUUCACUUCCAACAUUGGCGAUAGCAGUCAAUUACUUAUCCCCGAGCAUUUGGGGGGGGGGCUAAUUUGGUCAGGACACUUUCUCAUACUGGUUCUUCAUAGUGAAUUUUUGUCUAAAGAAUUUCCUUGAUUGACUUCCAUGAAGUAUUGUUACUUUAGGAGGAAUUCAAGACAACAUAGUUUUUCAUUCCCAAUGUAAGAUGGAUAAUUCAGAGCAUAAUAGACUACUCAUUACAAUGUCUCCAUGUUUGUUCACAAAGCUCGAAAAGCAGUGCUCUACCAAAAUGGCUGGAGUACAACCUUUCGUAGGGGAUGAGAUCAUGAACUAGAUAAACAUCCUUUGAGGUUAUGAGAAAAAAACUAACCAACAAACAAUGUCUAUUCUAGUCGUAAGGUCUAAUCAUUCAGAUGCCAAUCAAUGGAAAGCUACCUAAGGUUCCAUGUGUGCAGUUCUCCUUCUCUAAUAACAACACUGUAUUAUCUGAUUCUAUCAAGUCAAUGCUCAUGAUUCAAGGAAUUUCAUGGCUCCAAGUGUUAACAGUUUCCUAGGUCGUAUCAAUACAACCUCUUGGGUAAAAGGAACAUAGAAGAUACCCAAGGCAUGAUAGCAUUAGAUAAGCAUUGCUAAAGACAGAUGAUAAGAGGGUCUAGAGGACAACAAAAGUUGCAAGUAUUCACCGAACUAGGGAAACAAGCUACUACCAAGCAAGUCAACUAAAAUUUUCCUUAUUAAGCAACGGCUUAGUAGGUUCUUGGUCGACUUGCAUUGUAGCAUAAUAGCUUGGUGAGGCUACUUUUGAGAUUGAGGAUUCCUUUCUAGGAUCAAACAAUAGCUCUAAGAUAAUAAAUCUAAGAUUUGUUAUUUAACACCUUUCCAAUUAUCUUUGACUUGUAGAACGCCUAGAUUGCUCAAAUAUCGGUUGAUGCGAUAGGGUAACAACUAGGUGUCCAAGGGUGAAAGGAGUCUUUUAUAGGUCAUCCUAAGGUUCAUCUUGGUUCAGUUCACACCGCGCAAACUAGCUUCAUUAUGCAUGAAUUGUUAGUGUGUAUAUAGAUCUAAGAGUCUUCUCAUUAUUAACCAAGAUUUAGCUCAAGCAAACACCAUAUGGAUAACCAAACAAAACAAAACCUCCCUCAAACUCUUCAUGUAGACGCAGCUUUUUCAUGGAGGAUCGAGGAUAGGGUUUUCUUUACAUCUGUCUUAGAAAACAACUUCAAUUGUGGAUUGAACACCAACUCAAGGAUGCACAAGCAUUGGUAUUGUGGGCCAUUUUUUGUGGAGCUCAAGGUAUGCUCCACAUGAAAGGAUUGUGCUGCAGAAGAUAAGAGAUGAUGAUUAUCUUUUAGCACUUCAUCCAAUCAAGUCAGAAAGAAAACCUUUGAUAGCGCCAUACACAUAAUGAUGCUGGCCAAGACUAGGGACAUGCUUUUCCCUAGCUUGUGACCUAGAUAUAGCAUCUAGUACUAUAGGUGUGAUUAUCCAAGAGGGAAUUGACUUGACAACAUCGAGUUUGGAGAAGGAAGCCAUAUUUGCUUCAUUGAUCGACUUGUUAUCUUCUUUGGUGGCAACAAUUGUAGUUGAUGCGUAUAUAGGCAGUCAAGAUCAAAGUCAGCCAAAAGAGAUCAAAAUAGAGAUGGUUGAUUAUGACUGUGUGAUCACCAUGAUCAAGAUUUGGAUCAAUUCUUGUCUAAUUGAUAACUUGUCCAACUUUUAAGUGUUGUGUGCCCUUUGGAUUCAACAGUGGAUGACACAAGUUACUCACUAAAUGACAGAUAUUGUUACAUGGGUAACAAAUAGAGUCUCUUGUCUACCACCCCUUGCAGUGUGCUAAGGUUUAUGUCGGUAACCUAUUCUUCAAAGGAUAUCUUCUUAGCAACUUUAGAAGGAAGUCCUAUUAGAUAAGUCUGAUAUAGAUCCUUUGAUUGAAGAUAAGGAAAUAUAACAAAGGACAAGCUCAUGAGAAGAUAACACAGCGGUGUAGUUUCUAUAAUAGAUCAUGACUAGCAACCACGAUACCAGUGCGUGCCGAGCAGCAUGACCUUGUGUCUACAGCCACAGGAUGCUCUCGGUUUCGUCAUGGCACCAUCAAUCGUUAAACAUGACACAUUAUUGAUCUUACAACCAACAUGAAAUCUCACAUGACAUAGGUAGGUCUUGCAUGGACAAGAAUCAUGUGCAAGACAAAAUUAAACCAAGCAAAGAUGACAGCAAGAUUUGGAGGUAACAAGUAGAAGGUUAACGGAUAAGAACAAGACACAAGACAUACAUAGAUACGCAUUGUGCCCAUCAAGGUCAUUACCCAAUAAUUACAUCAUGAGAUGCGGUCAUGUUGGGUAGGAAUAUGAGAUCAAAGUCGAUAAGUAUCCCAAGACUUUGGGGAGGCUGGAGAUGACUUAAGCAAACUCCAAAGGUAAAUCCAUUACACCAAUGAGAGAUUGAGUUGAUAAGGAGCUACAUGAUUUGUACGCAAAGAUUUAGAGAUCGGCAAUAAGAGAUUGCAUUACACAAGCUAAGAUUUGGGAGAGGCAACCGGGAGGUCCAACAUGGAUUUGGUAUGGUCUUUGUAGCCAGCAAGAAUAACUGUAGUCAAAAGCUUUCUGUAGUGAGAACUUAUCCUAGCUAGUUGGCUAGACAAGGAUAUUUGCAUAUGGGUGCAGGACAACCAUGAUAUAUGCAAGCAUUUGAGAGUCUGGACAUGGGUUUACGUAUCAAGCAUAGGCAUGGAUGCUCAAACAUUCAAAAACUAACAACCAAGUCUAUAAGCUUGGCUCCGAAGAGGGAGAACCUAAUUUGAUACAACCAACACACAAUUAACAUAAUUUUUGCGUCAUUCUAAGAUAAAGCUAUUUAACACUCAUGCUUGCCGAGGACAAAAGAUGAAACAACUAAGGAACGAUCUACGUAACCAACAAUCACACAAGAUAACAGUUUUUACCAAGUACUUAAGAAACUCAAACACUCAUGCUCAAACAACCAUAACUAAGCACAAAGCUUACAUAUAACUAGCAUCUAUCUACAGCAAAACAACACAUUUGUACCACAUACAAAGAUUGUGAUACAAGAUGUGCUACAAAGUGUUGAUAUUUGGUAACGCCAUCAGGAAAUGAUCCGCAAGCGCACGGAUAUCGGUGAGCACUUCACCUAGGAGGUUAUCCAGAGUAUCGUAUUUAUAUUUUUACCACUGGGAGAAAGCGUGCAUCUGACUAAACAAACCUAUUGCUCAUACCCUUUAGGCUACAAACAAUGUGAUUCGAUGUGAGUGAUGAAUAGAGAAGACUACAACUGCACUCUCGUUCUAACCUUGGUAAGGAUGAUCUACUGUUCUAUUGGGGAGGCUUACGGAAUCUAGAUACCACAAAGGAUGUUCGACCCAUACCUAUAAACCCUAUCGAUCCUGCUAACGGGAUGUGGGCUACAAAGGUAACUCGGAGAUGUCACGUUCCUCGCAACUACCACGGUCCAACUAGACAGGGGAUAUCUAUGAGUACCCUAGCCCAAACACCACGUUUACGCUAGCAAUGAUUAUUGUAAACUCAACCGGAAGAGAUUAAAGUAAACUCAUAAACCAAAGAACAAUAAGAACAAAGCACUUACUAGAAUUUAGAAGUCGAAAUACUAAAGAAUCCUAGGAGCAAGCCUCGGGUUAGGAGAUUUGAUCCCGUAGGUACAACCUCGGAUUAGACACCGACAGGUCGGGCUUCCUCCGAUCUACACCUCCACUCUAUCUCUCUCAAUCUAGUAGAACUAGUUCUACUCUCACAUUGGAUGCUAAGCCCUAUGAGGUGGGAAGCCUAAGGAACCUCUCUCUCUGAAUCCUCUUUGGAAAAUAUGCUAAUGAAUAAUGAGGAUUGAGGAUUGCCUCCUCCAGGGGCCAGGGGGUCUGCUUAUAUAGUCCCCUCAAGUGAAUCUGGGCUGUCGAUCAAACCGACAUUGAUUGAACAGUUCUCCUUGAUCCUUUAGGUCAGUGGAGCAUAAUCCGCGAGACGGGACCAGAUUGGUCUCUAUAGUAGGGCGGGCGCCCAAGGGGGGAGGGCGCGCGCCCUGCCCCCGGGCCCGUUCGGCCUCCCAUUCGUUCCCGUGGCUUCUGAAGUCUUCUAGAUGAUAGAAAAUUGCGCGGCACAUUAAUAUCUCUAUGUAAACCCGACAUGUGGGCAUUUCCUCCAUAUUUCCUGAUAACCCCCUGCAUAAAUAGACAAACACCCAAAACACGUGGAAUUAUGUCAGAUAAAACCCUAAGUCUGGGUGUUGGUUGCAUUUGGAUCCUUUUCUUUAUUUAUUUGAUGAUUAAAUUUGGUACUUAAGGACCGUCAACAACUCCCCCAAGCUUACCUCUUGCUCAUCCCUGAGCAAGGAUGAACUCAAGAGUUUCUGCAGUUGUUUCAUGCCUUAAAAGUACACAUGCGUUCAAGCGAGAUCUCAUCUCUGAGUUAGAGUAAACUGUUAAGACUUAAAACUUUCUCAUUUCACCUUUCACCAUGGGGCUUGCAACCGUCACUUGUGUCUUGAGCAGUUAAAAGAUAGAACGGUCAAGUCAAGCGCCAUGUCUCUUGUUCUUUUAUCAACUAUAGCUCUGGAGUUUUUGCAGAUUUUCAAAUAAAACUCAGAGAUUCCUUGUAUGACUCUCUCAAAUCUCGCUUUUGUGGUAUUUCUAGAUCCUUUCUAAGGUAGUAAUGGUAUAUGCCUUCUCUCAAAGUAUAUGGUAUUUUUGGUAUGAGGCAUAGUGAUAUUGCCUUCUUUCUCACCCUACUCUAAUAAGGUUUUUAUAUCUGGAGCUCAUCGGUGGGAGACAGAUAAUACAUACUUACAAGACAUUUAUUGCAUAGUCAAACCAUGGAUCCAGAAGAACAAGUCAAUAAGUCAAAUCAAGAUGUGCAUGUGUGGCGAGUGAAUGGUGUAUGGUGAUGAUGGUGAUAACAAUAGUGAAAGUCUAAUUCUACUUUUGCUAUUUUUAAGGGAUACAUACCUUUCUUGCACUUUGAAGCUUUUUGAGGAGAAUGAGAUGCUCUAUAUUCUUUUUUUUCUCUCAGAUGGGUUUCAUGUACCCCUAAUUCUACUGUCGGACACUUGUCCAUUUUACCUCUCGUCUUACUUUUUCUUUUCUUCGAGGUUCCGGGCACUUGCCCCUUUUUAUUUUCUCGUAUUUUUUUCUUCUUUUUUUCAGAGCACUUACCCUCCUAGAAUAAUGUAGCAAGUGGUAGUAACCAAAAUAUCUCGAGCAUUUUUUUCAUAGGGAAUAACAGGGAUAGGAAAAAGUUUUUGGCUAUUCUCUCUCGGAUUAGGAGUAGAAUACUUUUAGGUGAAUCUGGAGAUGGAAUUGAGUAGAUGUAUGUCGAUGCGUACUUCCGGAGUAGAAAUAGCAUGUAUGAGUGAACGUGCAAGUGAAUCUUGAUUUUAACCGCAUGACAAGCUCCUAAGGGUCUACACAGCUUGACCAUACUCAAUGCUCAUAAGCAGUAAAAAGUAAAUGUAUGGUUCAUAGUCUAAUAAGUAUGUAUAUAUGGCUGUGGUAGGAAUUUAAACUCUCAUCAUACAGGAACUCAUCAUGUGUUAUUUUAAAGAUUUUCAAAGAUAAAAUUCUCCAGUAUUCUAGCAUCUCUAGGUACAGAUAAAUAGCAGCUCAACCUUUCCAUAUCAUAUCCGUUAACGACUUAGACUAUAGAUCAAGUACUCUUACCACAAGUUCAGGUUUAGAGCAGAUUUAAAUUAUAACAGUUAUGUCUAAACUUGAGAGAGAGCUCAAACUUGAAAACUAGGUACAUGACAGAGCAACUAUUAUCAUAUCCAUGUAAGAGUUUAUCAUUGAAGUUCAGUUUGACCUAGACACUUUAUUUAUUUAUUUAGCAAACUAAGCAAAGAUAUAUAAGCACAAAAAUUUUAUUUGGGUUUUUAUGAUUAUGCAUCUUUUUAUUUAUUUAUUAUUUGAGUAAAGUAUAAACGCGAGUAGAAACACUUAGCUAGAUAACUGGGGGUGCUCUCCCCCAAGCUGGAUUUUGACGUAAUUUCUUCUGAUGUAGCUAGCAGGUGACGGAGGUGUAUUUGAAUGUCGGCAGCACCCUAACAGCGAUUACUAUGUCCUCCACCGGCUAGUCUUCUUUAAUCCUUGAAUUCUGUGGAGCUCAAAUAGACAACAAAGCUUUAUGGAAUUGGUUAAGUGUUAGCAUAAAAUCUCUUAGCCUUUAUCAUAUUGAGAUUCCUCCUAAUAAAUUUUAUUUAGCAGGAUCAUGCACCUAUUAUUUUUAUAUUUUUAUUGUAAGAUGAAAACAUAUUUAUUUUAUGCCACCACAGCAAAAUAUACCCAUGGAUUUUAAACCACAAGUCUACUCAUAUGGGGCUUUAGAUUUUAUGAUGAAGUGCAACGAACAAAUAUUUUUGUUUUCUUUUCUAAUGCUAAUGUGGAAAAGUAAGUGAUGGAAUAAAAAGGAAAAGGAAUGCAGAAAAGAUAAAUAUGGAUAAAUACUGAUUUUACCGUCCGGCAAGGAUCCCAUGUUUUAAGUCUUCAGGACAAGACUUCUCACCGUGUUCAUCCUUUUAGGUGCAUGAUUUGAUUAGCUGUGGGCCUUGACAUCUGCACCUCUUGAUACGGUGUCACCCAUGUUCUUCGUUUGUCCAGCAGUUCGAAGAGCGGCGUUGCCAAUAUCCUGCUCAGUGUGUUUGUACUCGUAGAUCCAGGCCCUUCACUUGGUGGAGUCUGGGAGUUGUAAAACUCCUUCAAGUUUUGCUCGAAGUGUACCUGCUCAUAGAGACAAGGUAGAGAUCAAGUGCAUGGGCCCUGUUGGUGAAAAACACCAACAGAACCAAAAGUGUAUUUGUUCUUCUCUAACCUUAAGCAUAGUGAGCAAGACAAAGUUGAUGGAUAAUAAGAUCAUGAGUGUAGCAUUUAAAACAUUUGUCAGACCAGAUCGCUCAACCUAAUGGAAAGAUAAUCUAUCUAUAUUUAUGUUUUGUUUAUAUCUUCCAAAGAUUGAAUGCGCAACAUUUUAGCUUAUAUGAUUAGGAGUGUGAGAUCACAAAGGUAGUACUAAGAACAAAGAUUAAAGUACUAAACAUGUUGAAUUAAUUGGGUUGGUUAAUUUGGAGUUACCAAUCAUACAUGUUUGUCUCUUUAUUUUUUGUGAACACCAAAACCAAGGAGAAGCUUAUAAAAGUGAUAGUCAAGUACCUUAAGAUGUUACCUUACUUGAAGAGUGAUGGUACAGUAUCACCUUGUGGAAGCUUUCCUUUCUUAGCGGUUGUGCAUCGUGUUUGUGGCACUCUUUGUCUUGUUCCAUGGAUCAUCUUUCUAUGAUGAAUGAGCUAUGUCUUCCUUGUGCAAAUUGUUAACCUUCAUGUGUCUCUCUCUUUGUCUCCAAUGUGAGUUUAUCUCAGGACUUCCGAGGUCGAUAUUGAAAGUUUUCCUGCAGGGGUUAGUCCAACAAAAUAUUCAAUAUCUACUAUAGCAUACUGUUGGCUCAAAAAUCAACCUAGACACCAUGUCUAAUUUGAUUUAGAAGGGCAUUUUAACCUAAGCACCAUGCUUAAUUUAAAAUCCCUUGGAAGUAAGAUCAUCAUUCCUAAACUAAGCACUGUGCUUAAUUUAAGAGAUAAAUGAAACUACUCCAAACCUAGACAUAUACUAAAGCAAAUAAAGGUAGUAUGAGAGCAUUUAUAGAGAUCUACUCAAGUGGAGAUGAAGUGGUGUUAUUAGUAUUUAAUAAAUCAAGCAUGUCUCAAAGGAAGGGACAACCAACAAAGCAACUUGGCAAACGAUGUUUUUAUGUAAAGUACUCCCCAAGCUUGAAUUUUACAAAAUUCAAGUUUGGAUGAAUUUAAUUCAAAGUUGUAUGAUGAUUGGUUGGACAUACCUUGUGCUUGUUAUUCAUCCGAUCUUCUUGCUCCAAUCCUGGAAAGGUUAGUGACAAAAAUACCCGAAGGAAUAUUUCUACAAUUAUCUUUAUAUGCUCAAUACACAAGGCAAUGUUGCAAAUAAUUAGAAGUUCAUGUUACGAUUUGAUAAGUGCUUGUUUUAGGACGCUAAGCUUGUCCUUGGGAAACCAUCAAUUUAUGUCGGCGAAGUGGUUUCCCCUCCAACGCUGACCUACAUCAAAAUCAUCUCAACGAGAUCUGCAAUAUUUAUUAUAGACAUAUGCAUCGACAACCGCCCUUUUAAAGUUUUUAUAAAUAGAAAGGAAAAGGGGGUUGGAGAUCUCAAAUAUGGUGAUGUUGGAGAGACCAAUAGAUUGGGAAGAUGUUGCAUAUGAGCAUGGAGUAAACGAAGUGGCUAUGAAAUAAAUUCCAUGCUCAUUAAUGUUAUCUUCGUCUCCAAUCUGAAUGUUCAUAUUUUCUCUAGAUUGGUCUCGCCUAUGUCCUCUUCUGUGGUUGGAUGAAUCUCAUCUUCAAAGGGAGUCAAGAACUCACCAUUUGAAAUUGAGCCAAAGUUAGAAUCCAUUAAGGCUUCUUCCUUGUCCAUCCAUUCAAUGGUGAUAGCACAUGGAUUUUAAAUGCCCUCUAGCCAUUGAUGUUGCUCUCUCGAUCCUCCUUGUGGUCUUGGUGACUCUUAUGCAUGGGAUGCCUAGAGAGAUUCAUAGGAUCAUCGGGAGGUUCAAGAGAAAGAGCAUAAUAGAAAUUAUUAGGCUCAAGGAUGGGUUUAAAGAUAGGUUCGAACGAGUCAUCAAAAGUGGGCAUAGAAGGGGAGAAGAUGAAAUUGUCUUCUAAAUGGCUUCGCUCUCCUUCUAUUGCAUCACUUAUGAUGUCAUCCUUGAGUCUUUCUAGAUGUCCAUCAAAGGGAUUGGAUUUGAGAUGCUUUCUAAGAGAUCCCUUCUUAGGAAGGUUCAGACUAUAUGCACUCAAAGGUCUCUUAUGAAGCAGGAAGUUUAAACUCAUCCCAAAAUGAAUUUCCAAAGGUAGAAUUCUUCUUCCCUUAAAUAAUUUUGGAGCACUACUAGUUUAGGUUGGAUAGCCGAAUCAUGGGAUUGAAAUGUUUAGAAAUCGGCUAUUGAAACUUCCUUUCCUCUUCUGGGAGAUGAUUCCUUCUCUAUCUCUAGGAUUUUUUAUGAAGACUAGUGCAAGAAGGAUGUCCACGAAUGAAGACAUACCUUGCUUUACUAACAGAUAAAGAAAGAAAAACUAUACCAAAGGUUAUAUGAUUAAGACCAAUGUGAAAAUAUCGAGGAAAAACAUGGUCUUGUAGGGCUAGGUCUAACACAAAAUUUAUAGAAAGAUGAAAAGAUUCCCUAGGUGUAGCUAAAAGUUCAUUAUCUUCUUGAUUAAAAGAUAGGACCUCGGCUAUAGAAAAGGGUUGGUUUUGACCUAUUGCAAUCAACUCCGAACACAGAUCAUAAUUAGGGGCAAAGAAAGGAUUUGUUGACUCCCAUGGUCUAUGGCUGGUCUUCGAAGGUGCAAAGCAUUCAAUAAUAGGUGUGGAAUUUGAGUUAUCCAUAAAGAUGGAAAAAAUAACAAGAUAAAAGAAUAAAAGUAUAAAAGUAUAAUACAAGAUAAUAGCAAGACUCAAAGUUAUCUCAACAAACCGUCUUUCUCCCCGGCAACGACGCCAGAAAUACUUGUUCAUAUUUGGUAACGCCAUCGUAUUUAUCCAGAGUAUCGUAUUUAUAUUUUUACCACUGGGAGAAAGCGUGCAUCUGACUAACCAAAUCUAUUGCUACUACCCUUUAGGCUACAAACAAUGUGAUUCGAUGUGACCGAUGAAUAGAGAAGACUACAACUGCACUCUCGUUCUAACCUUGGUAAGGAUGAUCUAUUGUUCUAUUGGGGAGGCUUACGGAAUCUAGAGACCACAAAGGAUGUUCGACCCGCACCUAUAACCCUAUCGAUCCUGCUAACGGGAUGUGGGCUACAAAGGUAACUUGGAAAUGUCACGUUCCUCGCUACUACCAAGGUCCAGCUAGAUAGGGGAUAUCUAUGAGUACCCUAGCCCAAACACCACGUUUACGCUAGCAAUGAUUACUCUAAACUCAACCAGAAGAGAUUAAAGUAAACUCAUAAACCAAAGAACAAUAAGAACAAAGAACUUGCUAGAAUUUAGAAGUCGAAAUACUGAAGAAUCCUAGGAGCAAGCCUCGGGUUAGGAGACUUGAUCCUGCAGGUACAACCUCAGAGUAGACACCGACAGGCCGGGCUUCCUCCGAUCUACACCUCUAUUGACGGUCCUUAAGUAUCAAAUUUAAUUAUCCAAUAAAUAAAGAAAAGGAUCCAAAUGAAAUCAACAUCUAGACUUACGGUUUUAUCUGACAGAAUUCCACAAGUUUUGGUGUUUGUCUAUUUCUGCAGGGGGUUAUCAGGAAAUACAGAAGAAAGGCCCACACGUCGGGAUUACAUAGAGAUAUUAACGUGCCGCGCAAUUAUCUUACAUCUAGAAGACUCCAGAAGCCACGAGAGCGAAGCGGAGGCGAAACGGGGCCAGAGGCAGGGCGCCCGCCCUCCUGCCCUGGGCGCCCGCCCCCUCCCUGAGUCCAAUCAGGACUCUGCUUCGUGGGAGAUCUCCACCGACCUAAAGGAUGAAUCUAAACCAUACAAUCUUUGUCGGUUUGAUCCAACGGCCCAUAUUCACUUGAAGGGACUAUAAAACCAGACCACCUGGCCCCUGGAGGAGAGAGCCUCUCAACCCUAAUUCAUUAUUCUCAAGGGAGAAGAAGCCUCUGAUCAAGAUUAGAGCCACCACAUCAAUUAGAUAUUUAGAUUAGCAUAGCUACAUAGGAUUAGAACUAGAAGGAGUCAAUCUUCGAUUGGUUUCCGGAUCUGUCAAGAGGAUUCUUGGUAAUUCUCUAAUUGUGCUUCUAAUUACUUUCUAAUUAUCUUUGUUCUUCAAUAUUAUGAAUAUGACUUUGUUCUACUUAAAUAUAUUGCUUAUGACUUUGCUCUACUUGCUUAUAUUCAAGAUUAUAUUGUUCUUAGUUUAUCAUAGUUAUGUACUUGGCUUAGUUAGAUUGGAUUUAUAUACAUGCUUAGGAUCGUAUAGCGUUUAUCCAUUGGAUCCAUGGGUAAAUGAUAGAUAUUGUGUAGGCGUGGUGCUUAUACCGUAUUUAUCUGCGAUUGUACCCAAUAUGCCAGAUCGUGGGGUAGUUCGUGAUAGUGACAGCUUCAUUGAUUCUUAUAUAGUCCCCCUCUCGUGUAUUGGGCUGGCAGAGCAACAUUAUUACAGGGGAGUGAUUGCUAUGUUUCUCAUAUUCCUUGCUAAUAUCACUAUGCAUGGGCGUAGUCUUGUCUCACAAUGAUUGCUAAGUAUGCUUGCACUAACUAUGAUAAUGCUAGACUAUAUAGUUAAGAAUAACUUAGGGAAUAUUCUUGUAGUUCGUUCUAAUACCAUGCUAAUGACUUUCUAGAGUAUCUAAUUGAGGUGCUUAUCAUAUUUAUAUGUGGCUGAUCAGAUUAAUUAUCUUUGUCACUAUUCAUUAAUUCAUAUAUCUUUUAUGUGACACUUAUCCCUGUAUGAAGAGUUAGAUAAAUGUUCUCAAUUAUACAUGCAAUGAUAGAUGCUCAAUCUCAUAUUCUAUUCUGUAAUCAAUAUUGAUGAAUGUUAAUCCCUUCCCAGUGGUAAAAAUAUAAAUAACGAUACCUGGAAUACUUCCCGGUUAAAAUGCUGCAUCGGUAUUAAUCUGUGCGCUUGCAGAUCCCAUUCAUUAUUUAUUUAAAAGAGCAAUUGCAUAUUUCAAUACCGCGUCUCUCAUGUCAUGCUGGGGAUGACAACUUGGCUUAAGUGGUGUGAGGGAUAGGUUUGGCAUUUUUGGCACCGUUACUAGAUUUAGAGAACUUAGUCUACUUUUGGUAAUGAUGUUAAGAAUAGCCAACAAGCAUUUUUUGGCGCUGUUGCCGGGGAAAGUUGAUUACUAAUUAGGAAUGGAAUUAAAGAUUUUGAGUUAUCAUUCGCAUCACUAAUAUGAUUGAGCUUAUCUAUUCUCUCAUACAGUUUUACCCCGAUAUUUUUCUAUUUUAUCUUAUGCAGGGGAAUGUAUGAAUAGAAGACAUCUUCUAGGAAAUUUUGUUGACAAUCCCGAAGCAUUAUUCAAGAAGACGAGAGCCAAGCUCAAGAAGAGAUCAUCAACACUUCAGCAAGAAGCUUCAUCCAAUCAAGAAGAUCACCGAAACUUGUCUUCAGAGUUCGAAGCCAUGGCGAACAAAUCAAUCCGCGAGUUCUCAGCUCCCACUACGGACAACAUCCGCACUGGACCUGCUGCAGAGAUCGAUGGCAACUUUGAGCUCAAGCCUGGACUUAUCAACAUGGUGCAAUCCAACCAGUUCUGUGGGAAGGCACACGAAGAUGCUAGUGCUCAUUUACAACACUUCCUGGAGAUUUGCAACACAUUCACAAUAUCGGGAGUUUCCAAAGAUGUUAUACUACUUCGCCUCUUCCCAUUCUCACUGUUAGGAAGAGCGAAGCAGUGGUUCUACGCUACAAAGGAGAAGAAUACUACGUGGGCACUCUGCUCAACAAACUUCCUGGCUAAGUUCUUUCCCAUGGGCAAGACCAAUGCUCUCCGUGGGAAGAUUACAAGUUUUCAGCAACAAAAUGAUGAAUCUAUUCCAGAAGCAUGGGAGCGCUUUCAAGACUACAUCCUGUUGACGGUCCUUAAUGCUCACAAUUAACCAUCAACUAAUCAUGGAAAAGGAUCCAAAUGCAACCAACACCUAGGCUUAGGGUUUUAUCUGACAGAAUUCCACAAGUUUUGGUGUUUGUCUAUUUCUGCAGGGGGUUAUCAGGAAAUACGGAAGAAAGGCCCACAUGUCGGGUUGACAUAGAGAUAUUAGCGUGCCGCGCAAUUUUACGUCAUCUAGAAGACUCCAGAAGCCACGGGAACGAACGGGAAGGCGAACGGGCCUGGGGGCAGGGCGCCCGCCCACCCCCCCUUGGGCGCCCGCCCAGGAGUUGUAGUCAAACACGUCCAACUUUGCGGACAACGCUCCACCGACCUAAAGGAUCAAGGAAAACCACACGAUCAAUGUCGGUUUGAUCCGAUGGCCCAGAUUCACUUGAAGGGACUAUAAAACCAGACCCCCCUGGCCCCUGGAGAUCAUACCUCUUCUACAGAAUCAAAGUUAGGGUUUCAAUUCUUCAUCCAAGUAGAGAGGAUCCCUCUAGUUCUUCUAGUUCUACCUCUAGUUCAUCUAGAUCUAGUUCUAGUUCAUCUAGUUCUAGUUCUAGUUCCUCUAGUUCUAGUUCUAGUUAGUUCUAGUUGUAAUCUAGAAAAUAGGGAGAGAGAAGAGGAGAGCGGAGGAGGAGCCGGAUCUGUCGGAUCUUCCUCAACAUUAUACUUUUGCAGCAUCUGGUUCGUUCUUCAUCGUUCUCCAGGUUCUUCAAUUCAUAAUUCCUGAGUUCUUUAAUUACUUUUAUUUACAUUCAAGUUAUUUAUUGGAUUCCCGCUUGCAUCAAGUGCUCUAGUCUUUAUAAUGCUAGAGUAGUAAUUAAUAGAUUAGACGUGGUGUUUAGUCUUGUGAUUACCUGGAAUUGCACCCAAUCCCACGGAUUGUUGUGGUAGCCCUAGGGUAGUGACAGCCCUAACGGUCGACGUAUUCCACCACGUUCGGAUCGGUGUUUGUAGGACCGUAGUCAGACCUUCCUAGCCCCCUUCUCAUCUCUUUCUGUGGUUAGUGCUCUGAUGUCCCGAUAUAGAUAAUCUUGAAGUAAUUCUUGAUUCUUAGAUCAAUUAGAGAACUCUCAGGAAACUUCCUCUCUUCCCACCAAAAACAAUUAUAUAGUUAUCCUUGGGCGAUCUUGAUUCUUAAUUAGUACACUCACGUUCCCUGUGGAAAAUCGAUACUCUGGAAUACUCCCGGGUCAAGGCUACAUCAGUAUCCGUGCGCUUGCGGAUUUUUCUGUUUGCGUUUAAAAUACCCAACAAGCUUUCUGGCGCCGUUGCCGGGGAACGGUAGCUGUGCUAGUUUCGAACCAAGUCGUCUGUGUAUCCUUUUUCUUUUCCUUUUAUACCACACUCACCUUAUCAUUUUUACCAUACCACAUGGAUUUCACUCUAAGCAUUAAUGAGCAUGGAAUUUAUUUCAUAGCCACUUCAUUUACUCCAUGCUCAUACGCAACAUCUUCACAAUCCAUUGGCCUCUCCAACAUCACCACAUUCGAGAUCUCCAACCCCCACUUCCUUUCUAUUUAUAAAAACUUUAAAAGGGCGGUUGUCGAUGCAUAUGUCUAUAAUAAAUUUUGCAGAUCUCGUUGAGUUGAUCUUAAUAUAAGUCAGCGUUGGUGGGGAAACCACUUCACUGACAUAAAUUGAUGGUUUCCCAAGGACAAGCUCAGCGUCCUAAAAUAAGCACUGAUCAUACCAUAACAUAAACUUUUAAUUAUUUGCAACAUUACCUUGUGUGUUGAGCAUAUUAGGAUAAUUGUAAAAAUAUUCCUUUGGGUAUUCUUGUCACUAACCUUUCCAGGAUUGGAGCAAGAAGAUCGGAUGAAUGACAAGCACAAGGUAUGUACAACCAAUCAUCAUACAACAUUGAAUUAAAUUCAUCCAAACUUGAAUUUUGCAAAAUUCAAGCUUGGGGGAGUACUUUACAUAAAAACAUCCUUUGCCAUGUUGCUAUGUUGGUUGUCCCUACCUUUGAGACAUGCUCAAUUUGUUAAAUACUAAUCACACUACUUCAUCUCCACUUGAGUAGAUCUACAUAAAUGCUCUCAUGGUACAUUUAUUUGCUUUAGUAUAUGUCUAGGUUGGAGUAGUCUCAUUUAUCUCUUAAUUAAGCAUGGUGCUUAGUUUAGGAAUGAUGAUCUUACUUCCAAGGGAGUUUAAAUUAAGCAUGAUGCUUAGGUUAAUAUGCCCUCCUAAAUCAAAUUAGACAUGGUGUCUAGGUUGAUCUUUGAGCCGAUAGUAUGCUAUAGUAGAUAUUGGAUAUUUUGUUGGACUAACCCCUGCAGGAAAACUUUCAAUAUUGACCUGGGAAGUCCUGAGAUAAACUCACAUUGGAGACAAAAAGAGAGACGCAUGAAGUUUAACAAUUUACACAAGGAAGGCAUAGCUCACAAGAGAUGAUCCAUGGAGGGUGCCACAAACAUGAUGCACAACCGCUAAGAAAGGAAAGCUUUCACAAGGUGAUACUAUACCAUCACUCUUCAAGUAAGGUAACAUCUUAAGGUACUUGACUAUCACUUCUAUAAGCUUCUCCUUAGUUAUGGCGUUCACAUGAAUAAAAGAGACAAACAUGUAUGAUUUACAACUCUAGAUUAACCAACCCAGUCGAUUCAAUAUGUUUAGUCCUUCCACCUUUGUGAUCCCACACUCCUAAUCAUAUGAACUAAAAUAUGGCACACUCAAUCUAUGGAAGACAUAUAAAAACAACAUAAAUAUAGAUUGAUUAUCUUUCCAUUAGGUUGAGCGAUCUGAUCUGACAAAUGUUAUAAAUGUUAUACUCAUGAUCUUAUUAUCCAUCAACUUUGUCUUGCUCACUAUGCUUAAGGUUAGAGAAGAACAAAUACACUUUUGGUUCUGUUGGUGUUUUCCACCAACAGGGCCCAUGCACUUGAUCUCUGCCUUGUCUCUAUGAGCAGGUACACUUCGAGCAAAAUAUGAAGGAGUUUUACAACUCCCAGACUCCACCAAGUGAAGAACCUAGAUCUACGAGCACAAGCACACUGGAGAUACUGGACACUCAGGCAAUCACUGCCCUAAGAUGCUUGAGGACGUAACUACUGGAGUAUCCCCAUUGUGGAAGUAAUUACUGACCUUCUGCCGGUCAAGAGAGACAACCCAGGAUGCCCCGUCAUCCCGAUCUCCAUCGGCAUGCCUGCAGAUCAGACACUAAGUUUCCCAAAGGGAGUAUUGAAGAACCUCUGCGUCCAAGUUGGUACCUUAUACGCCCCAGCAGACUUCGUGGUGAUAGAGACUGGUACUGAUGAGAGGGCACCCAUCAUCCUAGGGAGGCCAUUCCUGAACACCUCGGGAGCUGUCAUCUACGCUAGGGCUGUCAAGAUCAGUUUCUACAUCAAGGGGAAGAAGGAGACGUUUUCCUUCAAGAAACAAGACUACACAAAUCCCAGAGCAAUCCCGACAUGAACCAAGGAAGAGGACCAACAGGAGGAACAAGAACAAGUAAAUGUGUACCGAGUCAGCUAAGAUGGUCACUGCAGCUCAAGGAGGUCAAGAUCGUCAACUUAAGUCACCUUUCUUGAUCAAGAAGGACGACCCUGGUGUCCCAAGCAUCGAGUGCACAAUCAACGGAUAUUCUUUUCAGAAGACACUCUACGACACCGGGUCUGAUGUCAAUGGCCGCAGUCACCUAUCAGCUCCUAUUUAGAACCAUGCCCCUACAACCAAAAUACAUUCAGCUCCAGAUGAUUUGAAGGUUAUUGUCAUGGGAGAAGACGAGUACAAUCCACCCGUCAUCCUUGGAAGACCGCUCCUCAGCACCGUUAAAGCAAUCAUCUACAUUGGAACCAGAGGAGUCCACAUGCAUUUCCCCUUUGAGAAGGUACGCUGCUAUUUUACUGACCCUAACCAUAUAGUUGAAGACUCUAAGCAGGUCAAGACAAGAAGAAGACGACGCAACCGCAACCAGAGAAGGCAAAUCAUCAAGNNNNNNNNNNNNNNNNNNNNNNNNNNNNNNNNNNNNNNNNNNNNNNNNNNNNNNNNNNNNNNNNNNNNNNNNNNNNNNNNNNNNNNNNNNNNNNNNNNNNNNNNNNNNNNNNNNNNNNNNNNNNNNNNNNNNNNNNNNNNNNNNNNNNNNNNNNNNNNNNNNNNNNNNNNNNNNNNNNNNNNNNNNNNNNNNNNNNNNNNNNNNNNNNNNNNNNNNNNNNNNNNNNNNNNNNNNNNNNNNNNNNNNNNNNNNNNNNNNNNNNNNNNNNNNNNNNNNNNNNNNNNNNNNNNNNNNNNNNNNNNNNNNNNNNNNNNNNNNNNNNNNNNNNNNNNNNNNNNNNNNNNNNNNNNNNNNNNNNNNNNNNNNNNNNNNNNNNNNNNNNNNNNNNNNNNNNNNNNNNNNNNNNNNNNNNNNNNNNNNNNNNNNNNNNNNNNNNNNNNNNNNNNNNNNNNNNNNNNNNNNNNNNNNNNNNNNNNNNNNNNNNNNNNNNNNNNNNNNNNNNNNNNNNNNNNNNNNNNNNNNNNNNNNNNNNNNNNNNNNNNNNNNNNNNNNNNNNNNNNNNNNNNNNNNNNNNNNNNNNNNNNNNNNNNNNNNNNNNNNNNNNNNNNNNNNNNNNNNNNNNNNNNNNNNNNNNNNNNNNNNNNNNNNNNNNNNNNNNNNNNNNNNNNNNNNNNNNNNNNNNNNNNNNNNNNNNNNNNNNNNNNNNNNNNNNNNNNNNNNNNNNNNNNNNNNNNNNNNNNNNNNNNNNNNNNNNNNNNNNNNNNNNNNNNNNNNNNNNNNNNNNNNNNNNNNNNNNNNNNNNNNNNNNNNNNNNNNNNNNNNNNNNNNNNNNNNNNNNNNNNNNNNNNNNNNNNNNNNNNNNNNNNNNNNNNNNNNNNNNNNNNNNNNNNNNNNNNNNNNNNNNNNNNNNNNNNNNNNNNNNNNNNNNNNNNNNNNNNNNNNNNNNNNNNNNNNNNNNNNNNNNNNNNNNNNNNNNNNNNNNNNNNNNNNNNNNNNNNNNNNNNNNNNNNNNNNNNNNNNNNNNNNNNNNNNNNNNNNNNNNNNNNNNNNNNNNNNNNNNNNNNNNNNNNNNNNNNNNNNNNNNNNNNNNNNNNNNNNNNNNNNNNNNNNNNNNNNNNNNNNNNNNNNNNNNNNNNNNNNNNNNNNNNNNNNNNNNNNNNNNNNNNNNNNNNNNNNNNNNNNNNNNNNNNNNNNNNNNNNNNNNNNNCUAAAAAAAAUAAAUACGAGGAAAUAAAAAGGGGCAAGUGCCCGGAACCUCGAAAGAAAAGAAAAAAAAAAGAGAGAGAGAAAAAAAAGAGAAAAAAAAAGUGAGACGAGAGGUAAAAAUGGACAAGUGUCCGACAGUAGAAUUAGGGGUACAAGAUACCCGUUUGAGAGAAAAGAAAAAGAAAAUAUAGAGCAUCUCAUUCUCCCUGAAAGUUUCAAAAGAGCAAGAAAGGUAUGUAUCCCCUCAAAAGAGCAUAAGUAGAAUUAGACUUCCACCAUUGUUAUCACCAUCAUCACCAUACACCAUUCAUGGGUUACACAUGCACAUCUUGAUUUGACUUAUUGAGUUGUUUCUUUGGAUCCAUGGUUUGACUAUGCAAUAAAUGUCUUGUAAGUAUGUAUUAGCUGUCUCGGACCUAUGAGCUCCAGAUAUCAAAAGCCUUAUUAGAGUAGGGUGAGAGAGAAGGCAGUGUCACUAUGCCUUAUACCAAAAAAUACCACAUACUUUGAGAGAAGGCAUAUACCAAUACUGCCUUGGUAAGGAUCUAGAAAUACCACAAAAGAGAGACUAGAGAGAGUCAUACAAGGAAUCUCUGAGUUUUAUUUGAAAAUCUGCAAAAACUCCAGAGCUAUAGUUGAUCAAGAACAUUAGACAUGGUGCUUGACUAGACCGUUCUAUCUUUUAACUGCUCAAGACACAACUGACGGUUACAAGCCCCAUGGUGAAAGGUAAAUGAGUAAGUUUUAAGUCUUAACAGUUUACUCUAACCAGAGAUGAGAUCUUGUUUAAACGCAUGUGUAUCUUUAAGUUAUGAAACCACUGUAGAAACUCUUGAGUUCAUCUUUGCUCAGGGACGAGCAAAGGUUAAGCUUGGGGGAGCUUGUUGACGGUCCUUAAUGCUCACAAUUAACCAUCAACUAAUCAUGGAAAAGGAUCCAAAUGCAACCAACACCUAGACUUAGGGUUUUAUCUGACAGAAUUCCACAAGUUUUGGUGUUUGUCUAUUUCUGCAGGGGGCUAUCAGGAAAUACGGAAGAAAGGCCCACACGUCGGGUUGACAUAGAGAUAUUAACGUGCCGCGCAAUUUUACGUCAUCUAGAAGACUCCAGAAGCCACGGGAACGAACGGGAAGGCGAACGGGCCCGGGGGCAGGGCGCCCGCCCACCCCCCUUGGGCGCCCGCCUAGGAGUUGUAGUCAAACACGUCCAACUUUGCGGACAACGCUCCACCGACCUAAAGGAUCAAGGAAAACCACACGAUCAAUGUCGGUUUGAUCCGAUGGCCCAGAUUCACUUGAAGGGACUAUAAAACCAGACCCCCCUGGCCCCUGGAGAUCAUACCUCUUCUACAGAAUCAAAGUUAGGGUUUCAAUUCUUCAUCCAAGUAGAGAGGAUCCCUCUAGUUCUUCUAGUUCUACCUCUAGUUUAUCUAGAUCUAGUUCUAGUUCACCUAGUUCUAGUUCUAGUUCCUCUAGUUCUAGUUCUAGUUAGUUCUAGUUGUAAUCUAGAAAAUAGGGAGAGAGAAGAGGAGAGCGGAGGAGGAGCCGGAUCUGUCGGAUCUUCCUCAACAUUAUACUUUUGCAGCAUCUGGUUCGUUCUUCAUCGUUCUCCAGGUUCUUCAAUUCAUAAUUCCUGAGUUCUUUAAUUACUUUUAUUUACAUUCAAGUUAUUUAUUGGAUUCCC
rnacentral:lncRNA from 1 species